rnacentral:lncRNA from 1 species
GUGUUCAUUAUUUAAAGACCUGCAAACAGGUAAAGUUGGACGCAUGUAUGGGCAAGUAUUUAUUGGCUAAAAGAAUAGAUGAAAGAAAAUAUGUAAAAAGAUUGAUGAAUUAUGAAACACAUUAUGCAUUGUCAUUUAUUUAAAUGAUGAAGGUAACAGAAAGCCCUACUUAAACAAGAAAUUACUCUUAACACCCUUGGACAUAGGCAUUUAGAUAAAAUUGUUCGUUACAUUUCUGAAGACUUAAAGAUGAUGGGCAAUUUCGUGACUGUCCAAUUGUUUAGCUCCUUUCCUGGCAGUACUGGAUACACCACAGGGAUCUUCUCAUUAAGUUCUUCAUCUUUGAUCAUAUGGAUUGAUAGCUGAUCAAAUAUCCGUAGAACCUGAUUGACCUUUGUUGGUGAUUCGGGAUGAAUGAAGCCUGCAGAGCGAAAAGUCUCAUAUAAGUGUGGGAUUGUCCGUUCCUCAAAUUCUUCUUCUUUUCCCUCAAGUUGAGCCAUCCUUUUAAUCUUCUUUCGAGCUGCCAGUUUCCUUCUCUCUUCUUUGGUAGGCUUGUACCCCAAACCAAACCUUUCUUCAUUCUUUAUUGGAGUCAGAAGAUGGUUAAUUCCUUGUAAAUUCUUUCCUAACCCCAAACCGACACGGCAUCUUUUACCCACUAUCUGUUUAACCCCUAUUUUAGUUUCUACUGACAAACGAGGAGUCGAUAUCACUUCUCUUUUCCCCACAUAAGUAGCAUUAACAAAUUCAAAAGAUCUGAAAGAGCAUUUUGGGACUUCUUCUGUCGCCUCUACAUAAGGAGCAGAUGAUGGUUGAAUAACCAGUAUGUCUUCCUCCGCAAAUACACUUAUCAGUUGACCCUCAGCUAUGAAUUUAACUUUUUGAUGAAGGGAAGAUGGUAUGGCUCCCGUCAUAUGAAUCCAUGGACGCCCUAACAAGCAAUUGUAUGACGGGGCAAUGUCCAUGACUUGAAAUUGUACCUUAAAAAUGCAAGGGCCAAUUUUUAUCGGUAGUUCAAUGUCCCCUACCACCUCCCUCGUGGUCCCGUCGAAGGCCUUUACAACCAUGCGACUAGUUCUCAUAUAAGACACAUCUACUGGCAACUUGGUUAAAGUAGAGCGAGGCAUGACAUUUAAUGCUGAACCAUUGUCGACCAAGACCCUAGGUACGGCAUGGUCUUUGCAUUUGAUGGUAAUGUGCAGAGCUUUGUUACUUCCUCGACCACCCAAUGGGAUUUCUUCAUCAUUAAAGGCAAUGAAGUUCCCCAUUGUAAUGUUCCCCACAAUGUGGUCUAACUUUUCCACUGAUAUAUCUUGUGACACAUAAGCUUGGUUCAAGACUUUAAGCAGCGCGUUCCUGUGUGCUUCCGAAUUCAAAAGCAAAGACAACAAUGAAAUGCGAGCAGGCAUUUUGGUUAAUUGUUCUACCACAUUGUAUUCACUGUGUUUGAUAAACUUGAAAAAUUCACCCGCUUCUUUCUCGGUAACAAGAUUUUUGACCUCAUUGUUCGGGGUAACUACAGAUUCGACAACUUGGUCAUUGGAAAAGGUAUCUGCUUUCUUCAAGCCUCCCUCUCCCUGUGUAGGUUUUCCUUUUCCAACUCUUUCCACUAUCUCAGGGGAAUAACAUCGCCCACUUCGAGUUGUACCCCCCACACCAGUUAGAUCUUCAAAAGAUGCUUGAGGGGCUGAUGAAGCCGUGCCUGAAAUAUUACACUCAUACUUCCAUGGGACAGCCUUAUCGCUCUUGUAAGGGAACGAGCUGGGGACUUCGAUGGUAAUACCACUUCUGAUCAUAGUAGGGGAUGUAUCAUUCAUCGGGCUCCUGUUUUCUUCAUAGAAGAUGGUGAGAGGUUUAGGUUUGUUCGUCCGGAAUGAACUUGAUGCCACUUCAGCUGGGGUGUCUCCGUUUAUGGUUCCGACCAAAUUCUCUUCGGCUUCUUCAUAAAACUCAAUUAUCGAUGAAUCCAUCAAUUCUUGCAAUUUACAACGAAAGCUAUCACAAUUUUGAAUGGAAUGCCCAAUUGCCCCUAUAUGAAAUUUGCAAGAACAAACGAGAUCAUGCCCCAAUUCCUUUAUGUCGAUUGGUUCUGGAGUGAUGGCAUUCAUCUUGGAUAACGCCUCAAACACUUUAUCCAUUGGCGUUUGAAUCUCAUCAAUGCUCUUUUUCAUCCUUCGCAUCAUCCCUUCAUGUAUGGCAUUCACUGUCGGUCUUUCAUGAUUAGGUAAAGGAUUCCCAUCAAUACUUGAACUAUCUUUUUUGGUAAAAUUUAAAAGUCCUGCCUUAAUGAGGGCUUGGACUUUAUGUUUUAAAGCAGUACAAUUCUUAGUGGAGUGCCUUUGAAUUCCAAAAUGGUAAUCACAAUGUGCAUUCGGGUCAUACCAUUUCGAGAAAGGUGGUCGGAGUGGUUCUAAAGGGGUUCGAGCAAGGAGUAGAUUUUCUAUGAGUUGUGGCAGCAAUGUAGUGUAAGGGACUGGAAUAGGAUCAAACUUUGGUUUUUCUAGGAUAGUUUUAGGUCAUCUUUGACCAUGACCAGGAUUAUUGGUUGAAGCUACCGGUCUUGGUGGUGGAGUUUGUGGAAGAACAUUGGUCUGAAACGUUGGUUGCGGGGCAGGUUGGUACACAUAUGGGUUUUGUGUAAUGUUGCCUAUGUUCGGAUAGAAGGGUUGGUAUGGGGGGUACGGGUAAUAUGGGUUAAAGUUGUGGGCUUGUUGGCUGUCGUGAACGACUGUUUGCACAACCCCUUCUUUUUUCUUGGGUGUAUUCCCUUUCUUUGAGCUAGCAACUUCAUGCCCUUCAAUUUUUCCACUUUUGAUAGCUCAUUCUAUUAUUUCUCCCGAUAAGACCAAAUCUGUAAAGUUUUUAGUGGCAUUGCCGAUCAAGCACUCAUAGAAUGGAACUCGAAGUGUGUUUAUGAACAACACAAUCAUCUCUUUAUCAGUGAGAGGUGGCUGAACUUGCGUUGCUGUAUCUCUCCACCUUUGGGCAUAUUCCUUGAAGUUCUUGCUUUGCUUCUUUUCCAUAGUCUGCAAUGAUAACCGAUCAGGAGCUAAUUCAGCCACAUGCUUGUAUUGGGCUAUGAAGGCUCUUGCUAAGUUUUUCCAAGUCUUAAUACGAUUUCGAUCUAACUAUACGUACCAUGGAGCAACUGACCCAAUCAAGCUGUCUUGAAAAAAAUGGAUCAGUAACUUAUCAUCGUGAGACUGUGCAGCCAUCUUCCGAUAAUACAUGGUAAUAUGUGCCAUGGGACACUUUGUUCCGUCAUAUUUUUCAAAUUCUGAAACCUUGAACUUGACAGGGAUCAAUACAUCCGGCACUAAGCAUAGCUCGAUUGCGUCCAUGGUACCAAACCUAGCAACUCCUUCGAUAGCAUGAAGACGCUCUUCCAACAAAUCGUACUUUUUUUGGUCUUUUUCAUUUUCUCCUAUUUGUGACGAGUUCUUUCUUAGUUUCUCUUGCUCUUUUGGAUCGUCUAAAUCUGGGACGUGUAUUAGUUCAGCAGGAUUUAUCUCAGAAUAUGGCUCAAAUUGCCCAUGAGUCGGUUGAUGGCCCAUCGGAGGUGGUGCAUUGUAAUAAACGGAUGGCAUCACUUGAGGGUGGACCCUUUGAGAGGUUUGGGCAUGUGGUGGAGUGAACCCUAUGGGAUAGGGUGGGUCAUCCCUUUGGUUUCCACUAUCUUGAGCUGGUGGGUUUUCUGACGGAGCUGGCUCUUCUAUCACUCUUUUUCCUUUACUGAAACUCAUCAUCAAUUCCAUCAUCUUUGCUAACUGUUCUCUCAUUUCUUCCUGAGCUCUUUCCAUUCUGUCCAUUCGCUCUCUUUGUUCUUCUUCCAUGAUCCUUGCUCGCUGACGAGUAUUAUGAACACGUUGGUCACUUGGCUUAGGUGGUCGAGCUAUUUUGGAACCUUAUUGUAAUCAUAAACAUGAAUUAGAUGCGUAUUCGAUGCAUGAAUGAAAAAAUGAACCCAUUAUCUUUAUUUUUAGAUGAAAAUACUUAUUGUUAUGAAAUGAUAAUUUAUGCAUGUAUGAAUGAUUAUGUACUAAAAGUAUUCGUCACAUGACACCCAACAACAAAGUCAUCCAUUGCAUAAGAUAUUUAUCUUUGAUUACAACUUAAGAGUCAUCUAGAAAUAUUCACCAAUCUUAUUAUAAUGGCUAUACAUCUCAUCUAAAAACUUAAUCAACUGUUGCUCUUGUUUUCCAACUGAAAAGACCUGGCUCCUUAAUAUGUCCGUCUUCCAAGCCAUGCUUCUCUCUUUGUAAGCCACCUCCCUCAUUUGCCAAACCAAGUAAUCCAUCUGGUCAUGUUUCUCUGUAUAAGCUUGUCUGUAAAAUUCACCCUACUCUUGAAUUCUGGUGCUCUGUUGCUUGAGGCGUUCAUAUUCCUGUUGAUAAGUCGUCAUGACCCCUUCGAGCUCUUCAUACUCCUGUCUUAGUAAUUGGAUGGACUCUUAUUGGAAUCGCGCUUGUCUUCUUAGUCCAUCAUUGUGCGCUUGAAGUUCAUUGCCUCGAUUUUCUCUCACCUGUAUUUCCCUUUGAAGUUCACUAGUUAUGGCAGAAAACUUAUCAUUCAGGCUCUCAUACUUCCCUUCUAUUUUUCGGACCUUCUUUCUUUGUUCAAUUACCUCUUUUUUCAUUUUCUCACACUCUUUUUGAAGGUCUUCAUACCGUUGCUUCCAACUGACAUUUUCAGCUUCGGACUUCUUUCGAGCAAACUCACUUUCGAGCAAAGCGUCUCGUGGUUCUGGAUCAACUGGGCCAGGCAGUGCAUCUUCUUUCGAAUAUACCACAUUCUUAACUCGUUGGUCAUGCCAUAUCUGAUAUCCGGUAGUCACUUCAUUGGUGUACCUCCCUUGAUCAACUCGGUUAGUUUUCUUCCAAGCUUGCGCAAUCUCCUCAAUCUUUUUCAGAAAACCCGGCUCUCCAUAAGCAAACUCUAAAGUAUUAAGUCGGUGUGUCAUCGGUACAAACUGUUCUGACCCAAAUUGUCUUCUCACCAUAAUUGGGGCGUAACUGAUGGCUUCCCAUGGCCCCAUUAACGGUACCCAAGGUUCAUUUCCACAUUUGUACAAGACCGAGUGAUGCGGCAUCCACGGAGCUCUCCAUGUCACUUCCACACUCAUGAGUUCCCGAAAUCUAGAGAUCCAUUGCUCCUUAGUCCUAUUUUCUGGCUAUUCACUCUCACAAAAUUCUCUGAUAGGGGUAGUUUGCGGAUGAAAUGGCUUUCUGAACUUAUCGACCUUGCAUUCAAAGUGACUUACUAUCCAGAUGGAAAGAAGCAGUGCACAUCCCACAAAUCGUCCUUCCCCUUUUCUUUGACAGUAAUUCAGUUAUCUGAGAGUUUCCGUUAGAAUAGAGGGUGAAGGAUUGCCCUUGUUGAUGACUUGCUCGAAGAAGUCUAUAAUUUCGACCUCUAUAUGUCCCAAGACUUUGGGAAAGAUCACUAGCCCGUAAAUUCCCAAGGCCAUCACAAGCUGUCCUUACUCAGUGUCCCGAUGCUUCAUGAUAUAGCUACGUAGAAAACUCCAUGGGAUACAUUCAUUGUCCCCUUUUUUCCUUAGGUUCUGAUCAACUUCCGCCUGGGUAAUACCCAUCAUCUUGGCUAGCUUUCACCUGUGUCCGGUCUUUUGUCCUCUCCAAUAUAUCUUGUCCCGAUUAUCAAGAUCGAUUUGUAGGAGAGUCGAGUACUCUUCGAUUGUGGGGACCAUAUCCACCUUAUUGAACACAAAGCAUCUAUACGACGGAUCCCAAAAUUGCACAAUGGCCUUCAACAACUGUUCAUCUAUCUGGACCUUAAGGAGUCGAGCUAUGUGGCCAUAUUUCCUAUCGAAAUUUGCCCGAAUGGUAGCCCCCCACUUAUCCCAUAUGUUAAGCAAAUCGAUGAAGUCAUUCUGUUUAAGAUCAAGGUGGACCCUAUCAGGUAGUGAUGAGAAGUGAUCCUUUGACAAGCAAUCUCUUUCACUUUGUUGGGCACUCGCCAUAUGCUGAGUCACUUCGUAUAUUCCAUCAUAACUUGAGGAUGGCCAUGAUGACUCCAUGUAUGCAAUUGGAUCUACUCUGUCAACGGUUGUCAGGUGACAAAUACUUUUCCUAUAUGCAAAAUUAUGAUGCAAAUAUGCAUGUGACAAAAAGUUUAAGUCAGUACCGUGAACAAGAAUUCCAAAAGAUGAAUGAAAGUAAUUAAUAACCUGAUACCUUUAUUACUCGCGGAGAAGAAUUUAGAACAAGGGGAUUAUGAAAAUUCCUUCAUGUGUACCUAGUCAAAAGGUAUAUUCUCACGGGUGAAGCUCUACCUAAGCAAAGGCGACUAUCGGUAUUCUACAUGCUGAGUUUGGGUUGAAAAUAGAGCUAAAGGUUCCCAAAUUGCUCCUCACUGUCGUCCACACGGACUAGUAAGGCACCCCGAUCCUCACCCAUUACAAGCUUCAAACGAACUAGGUUCGAUCUGAGUGAGAGUCUUCACUAGCCCAUGCUGAGGUUAUCACCUCACGAGAGCGUAGCUACUUAACUCCCUCCUAAUUAAGGACAAAGCCCGGGUGGAAGGCUUAUGCAUGAAUGCAAGAUGUGUAGUGUGUGAGAAGGAAUAUACUGACCUUGGACCAAUAAUUUCACACUCCCCUUAUCCUAAAUUUCUCGCAAUUAUUAAAAAUAGUGAAGUAAUAAUAGCAAAAUAAAUGAAUGCAUUAGACAAAAAUAUGCAAAAUUGAUGCUAGGGAAAACAGCAAAUUAUUUAAGGCUUAAGAUAACUUAUGAUUAAUUAAUGGAUUGACUCUCGAUGUCCCCAGUGGAGUCGCCAUCUGUCUUAACUUGCGGGAUCCGGGAACCCGACCGCCAGACGUCGGCGAAAAUUAAAUGGUUUAGGAGUCACCACCAAUCUUUUUUAUCUAGGUGUGAUUGGUCACUUAUUAACCCGAUUCUAAUCGACGAAGUCCUAAAUUAAUUUUAGGUUCGUCGAAAGAACGAGAACUGGUCCACAUUUUUAGAGAUGGAUUCGGGAGUGUGGUUACGCACGGAGAAGGGUUAGCACCUCCGUAACACCCGUUCCACGAACAGUACCAUUUAAUCUUAAGUUAUCUUAAUAUAGCAUUCUCUUAAUUUAAUCUCUACUUUAUUAAUUAAUUUUUUAUUAAAUUGACUGACUAAGUUUUUUAUUUGGUUUUACGUAUGCACAUGAUGCAAGUGUAAAAUGAUGUCAUGACUUGUUUAUUUUAAAUAAUGGAGUCGGUAAUCUUUUAUCAUAAAAUUAUUCGAAGACCAUCCCAACGCUUUGGUGAAGUCUCGAAAUUCUCAUCACCUAGAGAUAUCCCUGGAAGAACUCGCCUCUACAAGCUCUUCAGGGAAAUCCCAUCAUUGGAAUUCUCGCACCAUUUGCAAGAUAAAUGUGACAUGCUAUGACAGGAUAAAGUGAUGAUGUCUACAUGCACGCGUUUAUUGACUUAAGCGGUUCAUAAUUCAUCCAAUUAUGUGUUUAAUAAUUUAUCACCUUAUUUAUAUAUUUAUUUUGUCAUUUUUUUUCAUGAAUUAUUUAUUUAUUUUAUUAUUAUUAUUAUUAUUUGUUUUUUAUUUUAUUUUUUAUUUAGAUCCAUAUCUUUUAAUUAACAUUGUUGAUUAUUAAUAUUUUACUUGAUUAUAUAACUUAUCAAAUAAUUAAUUAAUUUAUUUUCUUUAACGAUUAAAUUAACUUUAUUUAGUAAUAUUUAUUUAAACUAAUUAACUAAUAUAAGUUCAAAUAUGAUAUUAUGUAAAUCUAUUAUUUUUUAAUAUAUAUGUCAUUUUUUUAACAACGAUUAUUUGACUUAACAGGUAUUGGAGUUUAGAGUUCGGAUUUAUCUCGACGCUUCGGUGAAAAUUCGUCUCGAACUUCACACUCAAAAAACAUCCACCCGAAAGAGGCAACUCUUUGCCCCUUUUUUAAGCAGAAUUCUAUUAUUGGAUUAACUCAAAUUAACCACUUGAUUUUUUUAAUACUUGUAAUUUAAUAUUAUAUCGUACAUUCUAUAUAUUUGUAAAUACCUAGAACAUUUUAUUUUCUCUUGCCUUUACAACUAAUUAUACUUUAUUCUCAUUUUUUAUUUCUUUUCAUUUUUUAGACUCAUUUCUAUUAUUUAUUAAUUAUUUUAUACAUAUUAAAAAAAAACUAAGUACUUUCUAAUCUUUCAUUUAAUUAAUUAAUAAUUUUUUUGCCUUGUUCAUUCUCCUAUUUUUUGUUAUAUGUUUAUNCCUUGUUCAUUCACCUAUUUUUUGUUAUAUGUUCAUAUAUAUAUUUAUACAUGCAUAUCUAUUAAUUUACUACAUCUACUAUCUAUUGUAUUAAAUAUUUUCAUUUUUAGCUUUCAUAUGUUUUAUUUUUCAUAUGCAUAAAUUUCAAACAACACCAAAAAUAAUAAAACUAUUAUAACACUUAAACAAGAAAUUAAAUAAUCACUUUCAAUAACUUAAGCCCAAACCAUUAUUUAAUGAAUAAGUCCAAUACCUAUUGGGUUGUAACUAACCUACUGCUCCAAAUAGGUUUAAGCUCCACUGGGCUUCAAAUGUCUCCUCUAACUCGGUCUGAGUCCAAAAGACUUGUUGCACUUGUUUUUUUGGUUUGGGUUUGAAUAGUCCAAUAAUGCCUUAGCCCAAGGAGGAAAUCAAGCUUGCUGCUAUAGCCCACUUAAUCCUCUUCAAUGUGCACCGUUUUUGGCUUCAAAAAAUGCUUCAAAACGACGUCGUUUUGGUCUUUUAUACUUAGGUAUAAAAGCUUCUUUUCUUUUCUCUCUCUUCACUUUCCUCUCUCACUUUCUCUCUCAUGCCGCCACUCUCUCUAUCUUCUCCUUAAGCUUUUCUUUUUUUUUUUCUUCCUCCUUCUUCCUCUCUCUUCACCGGCGGCGGUUAAGACCUCCCUCUCUUCGCCGACGGCAACCGAAACUCUUUCUUCUCUUUUUCACCGCCGGCCGAACACCUACACAGAUCGACUCCCUUCCUUUCACCCACUACCCGAACCCCCUUUGUUCAAACACGGAUCUCUUGGCUCUCUUUUUUGGUUCUUUUCUGAUUGCUUUUUUUUUAUUUUUAUUUUUUUGUGUGUGUGGCUAGGUCUUGUUGCUGGUAGAUUUUGGGACUUUUGAUCUGCAGUUUUUUUGUUUUUUCUUUUCUUUUUGGUUUUACAGGUGGUCCUUAAAAAGUCGGGUUGUCCAAAAAAUUGGACAACCCGGCAAUGGGGUUCUGGCACCAAGGAGUUGGUGGCCAGAAUCCCAUCAUGCGUGGUGGUUGGGGAAGGGAUGGCUGGGCGUACGUCCAGCCAUUCCUUCUUUUUUUUUUUUGUUUCAUUUUAUUAUAAUUUAAAAUUAUUUAUUUAUUUAUUUAUUUUAGGUGUCUACAAUGAGAGUCUAUUUUUUAAUUGAAACUAAAGCUUUACAAGAUAAACCCACAACGUCAUGACACUGAACUCAAAGUUAAUGGAUGCUUUGAUUGUUGAGUGCAGGCCAGAAACUUCUUAGCAGAUGAAUUCGAUCCUAUAUUUCCACAAAAUACCAAUCAAAUUGCCAGAUUAUGAUGCUAGAAUGUAAAAGGUAGAACAUGAAAACUGCAAAACUUGGAUAGUGAAGUAGACCCCCAUGAAUUUUAUCAUUUAUUUCUCAGGAAAAUGUAGCUAUACAAGCAGAUCUGCUGUCUCUAACGAUAUCCCAUAAAAUUAGAAGAAAGCAGAGUCGUAAGUAUGCUACUGAUCAAGCAACAUUUGCAGGACAUACAUGGUAUAUUAAAAUACCGUUUUCUUAUUUCAGUACAAGGCAAUACUUUAAGGGUGGAGAAGGCAGCAUUUCCAUGUAAACUCAGAUAAAUUAAGGAAGUUACAUACAAUUACUUGAGCAGCAGGGAGGAACAGAAGAAAGAAAAUGGAGUAUAUAUCGUUUCAGCCAAAUUGCAGUUUGCAUUUUCACUCUGCCUUCACUUCCUUCUCUGCUUUCUGUUCCUUGGCAUCCUUCACCUUUGGUUUCCCUUGCUUGGGCUUCAUGAAGCAGAAACAAGAGCAGCAAGGACACUGAAACAAGAACUUCAUGGCUUCGCUUUUUUUUUUCUUUUUCUUUUUUGGCUUUGCUAGGUUUCCAAAUGCCCAAAAAAUCUUAUGUACAGAGAGAAGAAAGAAAUGUCAAGCCUUUCUAUCUUGUUUCCUGACUCAUAACGUUGUUUAUAUUAUCCAACAUUUUGCAAUUACCCCAUUGGAUUCCACCUCAAUCACUUUCAAUAAAGAAGAUGCUGCCUAAUAAUUCCAACUUUAGGGUUAGGGGGAUGAAAGGUGGCCCAGGGGGGUGGGUCUACCCCAUGAUCAACAAUGAAGUUCAUACUCCUAACAAGGCUCCUAUCCUGUGGGUCAACCUUGGCCAUGAUCCGUUAGAAAAAGGAUGGCCUCCUUUUAAUUUCCUUGCCUUAAACUAAAGAUUCCUAAGUUGGCAAGCAAUAUGCUACAUACAUUUGCAUUAUUACCAUGAGGUUGAAAUUGAGAAACUUGUCAAUAACAAUAUUGGCCAAUAAAAGUACUACCCAAUAUCUCUGUUGUUAAAAAACCUGAAAAGGGAUUGCCUAAUUUUAUACAACCUGCCAUAGAAAAUGGUAAGGAGUAUGAGUUCUAUCAUUUUACUGCAUAAUCUUAAUUCCUAACCAUUCCAUAUGAAUAUAAAAUAGAAGACAUAAUUUAUAAUUGAGGUGAUUGAAUUCCCUCUAAAAACAAAAAGUGUACCACAAAGCUAUCAUUUUUGGAGAAGAUUAUGGCUUAGUCUAUCCCAAUAAUGAUGUUUGUCAAGAAUUGCAACCCAAUUUGCAUUCUUUAUUUAUUGCAAUUGACUCUAUUAACCUCGGACAGCUGUAUACCUUUUGGAUAAAGUUUGGCAAAUUGUCAAUCUACUGCACAUGCAACCCACUUGAAGAAAGAAUACUAUUUUUGGAGGUAAUUAAGUAUUAUGGAAGAUAAUUGUAUACGGUUUAGACAUAUUCAUUUGUCAGGUUUCUGUAGUGUAUUAAAGAUUUAAAUCUUUUCAGAUCCUCAUCUAAGCUAGGGGACAUGUUCACUCAUCAAUAUCAAUAUCAACCAUCUGCCUAGUAAACUCAUAUCCAUGUACCCGUAUAAUUUCACAUUCACCUCCUUAUAUGCAAGAAUAGAAGAUUUUAGAGAUAAUAUAGCACUUUGAUCUAUCCUCAAAUCCCAACAUAAAUGUUCACAAGGCUCACAGCAUCAAUGAUACUUGGUAGUUUGACUAGUUCUAGCAAUAUAACUUGACAUCAAUUCAUUUAGAGUUCACAACAGUGUGCUAUAGUACAACUAGUCUUUUGUCAAUUUAACAGACAUGGGGAAUAAAAUCAAGAAGGCGAUUACCAAUUAAUGCUUGCCCAAACAGAGCAGCAGCCACUAUAGUGAUCUGAGUGUAACCCCAGUUGCUACCAUUAUUUGAAUGAACUAGUUGCAUUCAAACUCAUGUACCCAUAGUCAUGAAAGAAAAAUAGUUAGGCAUUGUAUCAGAUAUGAACUCCUUAAAAGAUAUGAACAAAAAGUGGCAAAUGUAGUUGACAAGGGAAUUUUAACAUUUUUAUUAUGGAAUUUUUUUACCCGGAAUUUGGGCAUGUUUGCCCUUCAUUGCAACUGUACCCCACCCCCCAUGUUAUUUUUCUAAAGCACAUGCUUCCCAACUGAAGAGUCCCCAUCUCAUUCCCCAACAAUAUUGUACUAAGAGAUAAAGGGGAUAAAUGAAAAUGGUAACUGGUAACCUCAUCUCAGUAAUCUAGGGUGCAGUAUUGAUGUGUCAAUAUUGUGGUUGUGAAGUCAUGGAUAAAGUUACAUAUACAACACUCGAUUGCAGGAAUUUGUACUGCCACAUUUGAACCCAAGAUACGACUUAUGAGCUUUAGGCACUAUUUUUGUUAUUCAUUAUUCAGGAAAUAAUACAUGUUCAGAGUCGAGGAGAUGAUUUUAUAGAUGCAGGCAGCCUACGGUAGUCAUACACCCCAAUACCACAUUUUCUGCCAAUGCGACCUGCAUCAACAUACUGCACAAGAAGGGGACAAGGGGCAUAUUUACUGUCACCUAGACCAGUAUAUAGAACUUUCAUUAUGGAUAAACACACGUCCAAUCCUAUGAAAUCUGCAAGCUCCAAGGGACCCAUUGGAUGGUUUGUUCCCAACUUCAUUCCUGUAUCAAUAUCUUCCUUGGUUGCCACCCCAGUAUAAAGUGUGAAAAAUGCUUCAUUUAUCAUUGGCAUCAGGAUCCGGUUCACAAUAAAGCCAGAAUAGUCCUGAGAGCAUAUUAUUGUCUUACCAAACCUGCAAAUUCAUAGUUGAGUUAAAAUGGCAGUAAAAACAAUGUGGUGACCAUUCAUGCAGUAGCCAGUAGGUCACCACAUGGGAUCCACAUCAAAUCCUUAGAUGUUUAACUUUCAAGAAUGCAGAAGACUUCACAAUUGAACAAUUGUUGGUGAUAUGAAUUAAUUUGCCCCGCCCCGCCCCCAAUUUCCAUUUUCCCCUUCCACAUUUAGAGAUUUGGAGAAUGUUUUAGCUUGCUCAAUCAUGCACAAGCCAAGAAUGGUAAUCCAUUUGACCAGAUGGAUAUAGCCAAACACACUUGAAUGGAGAAAAUAUCACUAGGGGAAAUGAAGUUAAUUAUGUUUUUUACAAGCAAAUAACUUUACCGCUCUGCCAAGGCUUUUGUUGCAUGAAAUGUCUCAUCUGAUGUGUCUGCACCUCGCACAAUCUCAACCAACUUCAUUAUAGGAGGAGGAUUCAUAAAAUGCAUUCCAAUCACCUGCCAAAAACAUGUUGCUACAACCUAAUCAGAGUCCUGACACCUUGAAAUUGGUAGAGACAAUUCAUGCACGGUCAGAAAGAAGCUGCGAUGUGAUUUUGCAUGUGAUUGUCAAUUGCAUCAAAUAUUCUGAACAUGGCUCCAGGGUAAAACUAGAAAGAUGCACUGAGCAUAACCUGGCGUGGUCUGCUGGUUGUAGAUGCUAAUCGAGUAAUGGAGAUGGAACUUGUAUUUGAUGCUAAAAUGGCUGAACUCUUUGCAAUCUUAUCUAGUUCAAGAAACAACGUUUUCUUCACAUCUUCAGAUUCUAUAAUUGCUUCAAUAAUAAAAUCUGCUGAUCGCAGCUCUUCCAAAUUUGAAGUAAAUUGCAGACGUCUUAAAGCAUCAGUACUAGCAGCCUGUCAAGUCAAAAAAUGAAAUACUGAAAACUAAUACCAACUGACAAGAAAUUUGCUAUUAUGCCUUUUUCCCCUUCUUCUCUGUCCGUUUGUACCACACCUUUCUCUUGUCAGUUAAAUCAGGAAAAAAGUAAGAACCAUGCAAAAAAGAAGUUAGACCUAAUCUAUCCAAUACCAUUUGACAUUAAAUGUGUUAUGCUACUUAAGAUUGCACUAUUCAGUCAAGAACAUUCAUUAGUGUUGCUCAUCAAGGCUUCAUCAAUUACUAUGCCUACUUAGCCAAAUAUCUAAGACAUCUAAUUUCACCCCCCCUCCCAAAGUUUCUUUUCCUUCAUAUGAAUUAAAGAGAAAAAAAGGCUGGGCCGAAAAAAAGGACUUCCCUCUCAACUUACUUUGGUUCAUGCGAUUGGAAAGAGGAAGGACAGGCUUAUUGGAGAAAUUUUUCAAGGUGUCUUUUCAUAGUACAACCUCAAACUUAAUACCUCAGCCCAGCCCCUGUUAUGGAAAACCAAUGACCUUUUCUCUGUGGUACGUUAACAGUAUUUCUUUCAGAUUAUAAUGUUAUUAAAAUGUUUCAAACAUAUUACUGAUUAAAAUACUAUUAACAUGUUUCACAUUGCAACCUCAGCCCAAUCCCUGAUACAGAAAACCAACGUCUCUUAUGAGAUUGGCUACAUUAAUGCUUUCUGGCCAGAAUGUUUCAAAAAUGUUUUAUGCAUGCAAGUAACCAGAUUGGUUUUGGCAGAAAAGUAGAUUCAUAGGCAAGAUAGCCCAGUUCACCACUCUAAAGGUCAAUUAAAUGGCUAAACUAAACUUUUAACUGUGUUAUAGCACAAUAUUCCUGAUAACAAACUCCAGCCCUCCCUCUCUCUCCCUCUAUGAGAAAGAAAAAAAUUAGGCAAUUCUUAGGACACUAUCUAUUUGCCUCUAAUUUCAGUGAACCAUAUUCUGCCACUUCAUUUAAGAGUAAAUUAAAAAUUUUUGAAGCCUUUAAAAUAACAUGUAUAAAUUUUAUGUGCUUAAAUUUACAAGAAAAUUAUUCGGAUUUUGUCUUCAACUUUCUCUUUUCCAUAUCGAGAGACCUUCUGUCCUUCAUACACACACAAAAAAAAAAAAAAGGAUGCAACAAAUCAAUUUAAAUCCCAAAAAUCUUUUAUUCUGAACUGGAAAUGACAUUUUUCAAUGAAUGUAAACUUGUCCAACACAAAUAUCCUAUUAAAUUUAGUUAGAACAUUGAUGUAGUAAUAGUUACAAUAUAGAGAACAAUUUUUUUUUUAUUAUGAAAGGCUCCAUAGAAAAGGGUCUUAAUCAGUGCAAAUGGGGGAUCCAAGGAAGUAAGGAUCAUUGACCAUUCUUGAUGACAAAAAUGUGAUUGGCAAGUAUUUGGGCUGCACCACUACAUUUGAUCGGAAACUAAUCAAUGAACAAAUUGGGAAAUUUUUGCAAUUCGAUAAGUACUCCCUUGAAAAAUAAAUCUUGAUCAAACUUAAUAAAACAUAGAAAUUGAGUCAUCUGCUAUCUAUAUGGAUUCUGAUAAACCAUGGGCAACAAACAAAAAGCAAGAAACAAUGUGGGUUAGGUAGGAGUUGGAGGUUUCUUUAUUUUUUUAGGCCAGAAGGGAUAGUAUGAGUAGAUGAAAGCAUAAAGAUUUUUAGUGGGGUGGAAGUUCAAAACAGAUCCUUAUGAUUGAAGGCCUAAUAUUCUAUUCUACAACAACCCACAAACCAAAAAAAUUAUUAUUUGGCAUCUGGUUCCUAGUAAAGUUGCAAGAAUUCAAGGAGUAUACACCUAUGUUUAGGGAGAUAAUUACAUGAUACUUACACUUUAUGAGUAUUUAUUGGUAAGGACUCUUACAUUUUUAAAUUUAUUCAUUUAGCAGCUGGUAAUAUAUGAUUCAUUGACAGUGUAUAGGAUUUAUACACUAUAGAGCAUCAAACAUAAACCCUUUUUUUUUUUCCUUCCCAUUGUUUCAUAUCUCCUAUCUUCCUUUCAACUUUCCUUCUCUUACACUACUAAUUCUAAGCCAUAGUGCAAUACCAUACCAAUAGUAUUUGAUAUCAUGCCUUAUACACUGGUAUUUAUAACCUCACACAACCUCAAUUAAUACCAGUCAGAAUCAAAAGCAGACACCAAUACAAUAUCUAUAAAGAGCAUACAGUUGACAUCACAUCAAUAAUUUCAUCCACCAAGUUCUUCCAUCAAUUUCUACAGCUACCAACUUUCUUGAUUUUCCCACCCCUGACCAAGUGUAGUAAAUUAAUGCUGCAUUAAUUAUAAAAACUCUAGAAUCUUAGACACAAACAAUCAAGCCAGAAAUUCUUCUCUCUUCAGCUCAAAAGCUAAAGCAGCACUAAAGUUAUCAACUUUUAUCUGAGCUCUAUUUAAGAUCAAGCUUUUAUCUGGAUUCCUAACUUGAAUCUGUUUUAACUCACACCCAAUCUAAGUUUCAAUCAGAUUCACACCCAAAAAACAAAAGAAUCUUUUCAUUCAAAAGAAGCCCUUUAAAGACAAGUGUUCAUCAUUAGCACUAUCUUUAUUCAUUUUGAUCACCUUUUUUCUCCUAUGUUGAAUUUCAAUACAUAACUAAAUACAAAAAGAAGAAAAGAACGAAAAUUCAAUUCAUCAGCACAUAUAUACAGAGUACACCAGCCAACUGUCAGAAGGCUAAUUGCUUAACUGGAAACAAUCACCUAAGCAAGACUUCAACCCCCAUCAGAACAAAAGUUAACAAAACUCAAAAGAAACACAAAAGAAUUAUCAUCAAAGAUGGAAAACCAAGUUUACGUACCUGGGAGAGUUGACCUUUGGAAACAAAGCGUUGAAGGGAAGAAGAGAUGGCUUUGGAGGCUCUGGAAAGCGCAACAGGGUCAGUAUCAAGGAGCCAAACGUGUAGGCCAUGCAUGGCACCAAGCUGAGCUAUGCCUGAACCCAUUUGGCCACUUCCCACCACCGCUAAACACUUCGUCUCAGCCAUUUUUUUCCUCUGCAGACAACUACAAAAACGCCCUUCAAGACUAGAAAAGAAGAUAAUACUGGUAGCAGCCUGGGAGUGGAUUCCAGGCGCCCGUGAGCCGCGUGAUAGAGCUUUAGUCAGUUGGGAGGAAUAUACUAAAAUUAAGAUUAUCCUUAUCUCUCCAACUUAAUUUAAUUACUUUAAUUUGAAUGGACUGAAUUUCCUUGCUUUUAUUAUCCUUUGAAGAGAAAAAAGCAUUGGUCCAAUUCAGUAUUAAAUCCCUUUCCUUUUCGCCUUUGUCUUUCUUUGUUGUUAGGUUCAGGGGCGGAGCGUCCCUCUGGAAUGGCCCCCCAAAUUUUUAAAUUUUUUAUAUAUAUAUAAAUUUUUUAAUAAUUUUUUAAAAUAAUUCUUUAUUAAAUAAUUAAUAUAAAUAAAAAAAUAAUAAAAUGAUCUUACAAUCUCUAUUCAUUUUACUCAAAUUCUUAAAUUUUUUUAUUUUUUAAAUUUCUCCACCAAUUUUUCUCUCUUUUCUUUUCUAUUCUUGUGUUGUGAAAUUAUAAAAAGGUAAAAUUUUUAUUUAAUUUUUUCUAUUUAUAUUAUUAUUAUUUAUACUUAUUUAUUUUUUUCAAUUAUAUUCUAUUUGUUCAUAUAUUUUAAGUUUUUAUAGAUUUUUUUUUAAAAUUUCUAUGAAUCAUCAACUAUAUUUUUUUUUUGUUAUAUAGUUUAUAUCUCCUACUUGCUAUGUUUUUUUUUUCUGUUAUGCAGAUUUUAUUUUUAAUGAUUUUAAUUUUUAAAAAAUAAAAAAUUAUUGUAUAUGUAAUUCUCAAAUAUAAGUUAUAGUGUUACAUUAUUAAUUGUUGUUUAAAAUUUCACUAAUAUAUUAUUUUUUUAUUAAUCCUAAUUAUAUAAGAAAAAAUUAUCUNAGUGUUGUAUUAUUAGUUGUUGUUUAAAAUUUCACUAAUAUAUUAUUUUUUAUUAAUCCUAAUUAUAUAAGAAAAAAUUAUCUUGAGUAUAUUUUUUUAAUGUGUUUUACGUUUUAUAUUUAGUUGAAAGAAAAUUAUCUUGAAUAUAAAAAGAAAUUAUUAAUUAUAUAUAUCAUAUUUAACUAUUUAUAUUUUAUGCAUUAUAGUAUAAUAUUUAGUAUUAUAAACUAAAUAUAAUAACAUAAAAAUAUUAGAUGUUGACUAUAUUAAUUUUUUAGUUGUUUAUAUCGAUAAAGACAAGACUUCGAAAUAAAAUAGAUGAUAAGUUUCUUACAAAUAAUUUAGUUAUUUAUAUUUAAAAAGAUAUUACUAUCGUCGAGCAAAAUUUUCCUAAAAUACUAUUAUAAUUUUUUUUAUUUAUAUGUUAUAUAAAAUUAUUAUCUAUUUUAAAUCUUUUGAUUAUUAACAGUUAAGUUCAAUAUAUUAAUUUUAAAAUUUUUUAACUUUUUAUUUUUCUUAACCUUUGGCCCCCCCCUCAAUAAAAAUUAACUAGCUCCGUCCUUAGUUAGCUUGAUGGUCUAAAUAGAUAAUAAUCAUUCCCCACAAGAAAAGAAUUGCCUAUGCCUGCCUAUACUUUAGAUGAGAAAACUGAAAAAACAUCUGUAUGUAACAAGUAAAUAAAUCUUAGUAACAUCUUUUAUUUCGACGAAAAAUGUUUGCCCAACCUUUUUUAACACCCCCUAAGCUAUAUCUUAUAUAACCCUUAAGUACAUUAAUAUGUUCGGCAAACCCUCUUAACAACCUAAUACUCUUUGGAUACAUCGUGAUGGUGUAUUUUCAAAGUUAUACCUCCUUAUAUGAAAAAUUGUAGACAAAAAGUUAUAUUUUUUCAUAUAAAAAGUUACAACUAUUUGGAAGUCACGUCAAUAGAAAAGUUAUAUCAUAUAGUGUAAUUAUUAAAUUGUAUAUAAAUUUUUAGAUAAAUAGUUAUGCCUCUUGGUUAAGUGAUAUGUUGAAAAAAUAUUUUUAAAUCUAAAGGUUACAAGAUAAUUGAAAAACAAAACAACUCAAAAGUUUAAAUAUAAAAAGUUAAUUUUUCAUAUUGUAACUCAAAGAUUAUAUUUAUUUUUCUUGAAUAGUAAACAAUACUUUUAUUCAAGGACCAUGUCUUGCAAUAUGUAGAAGUAUCUUUAAAGUAUAGAGAUGUCUUAAUGAAAGAGUUGUGUUCUUAAAAAGAAACACUUAUAAGUUUAUAUAGAGGACUUGCUGUCAAUCAUAUUAACACAAAAAACAAAACAAGACGAAAGUAAAAAAAUCAAAAGCAAAAAAAGUGUUAUAGUUUGAAUAAAAUUCAAAAAAAUAAAUAUAAACACUUGAAUUUUCAUCGUAUUCUAAAUUUCUUAUAAUAUACUUAUUGUAAAAAGUAGUAGACCCUAAAGCCAAAUAACUUUAGAUACACUCAACCCUAAAGUCAAAUAAUUUUACAAAUACUUAGAGUGUAUCUAGUAGACUACUCUCGUAAUGUGUAAGAUGAAGUUAAACAUUAGCUUAUUGUAUUUCUAAAGCUAUUUGCAUAAUUCUCUUUUACAUAUCGAGUGAUAUGAACGAAACAAAUCUUAAAAAAUAACGUUUAUUAAAAACACUUUUUAAAAUCAAUUUUGUCGAUUCACUUUGAAUUCCAACUAUAGAUGCCAAUUUAUGGUUAACUAUUAUUUUUAAAGUACUCUUUACAGGAAAAUUACAUUAAGGGUAUUUCAAGUGUGAAAGCGCCCAAAGGUGUUCUAAAUGUAUAAGCGUCCAAGGGUGUUCUAAGCGUGGAAACGUCCAGAGGUGUUCCAAAUGUGGAAACGUCCAGAGGUGUUCCAAAUGUGGAAACGCCCAGGGGUGUUUCAAUCAUGGAAAUGCCCAAGAGCAUUCCAAGCACAGAAACACCCAAAAAUAAACAAGGCAUAGCUAUUUGUACAAGUGAAGUAAAAGUAACUCAGAACAAGUAGCAGAGUUAAUGAGUUACCUUCACAUUUGAAAUGUUCUAGAGAAUUUGGCUUGGUGGCUCAGAUAUGGAGAUAGUUAAAAGGAUUUCCUCUUAACUUUUUUUUUUAAGUACAUGUGCUUUACCCCUUUCCCUUUCCUUACUCCUUAAAAAUAUAUGUGACGCACUAUUAAAUGCUACUACUCCAUUUACCCAGAACUUAUGCCCACUACUUAAUUACGUGAUCAUUUUUUUAAUAUCUUAUAAACCGUUUUUUAAUUAUUUUUCCAUGACAAGAACAUUCUCUCAUGAUUAAACGUGCUCUCCUAAAUAACUCUUAAAAAAGUGUUCCUACUCAAUAUAAAUAUAAAAACUUGAAAGGUAAAAAGGAGAUUUUAGACACCCAACAAGGAUUAGAUUCCUCCAAGCAUUCUUUCUAUUCAGCCUUCACUAUUAUCCGCCGCUUCUUCCACCUUUUCUCACCCCUCACCACCUACCACUUCAAGCACUUACGCUUCAAAAGCUGCUUCAAUCUUCCUAUCUGCCGCCUCUAGUGCAUCUCUAUUCACUCAUUGCAACACACCCUAUCUCUUUAACCAAAAGAACCCUCUACACCAACUAAACUCCAUUUACACCAAUCCAUUAUAUUUUAUCAAUUAGGGUAACAACUUAGGCCAAGUAAACAUAGAAAUCAUCUUAACCGAAAUAGCAAGUUGAAUCAGGUCCUUUUGUGUUCGGAUGUGUAUUAAUUCAAACACGAUCACCAAGUUGAAUCUCAUAUCAACUUAGUACUCCUCGGUACAUUAUGCUUUCUCAAUUAGAGUUGCAACUUGGAUCAAGUAAAGACAAAGAUCGUCUUGACCCGACUAGCUCGGAUCAAGUUGGACAAUAGCAUCGUGACCGGGUUGAAUCUUGGAUCAACCUGGUACCUCUUAGGUACAUUUUGCCUUAGUACCAAUCCUUCGUCAAUCAUGAUAUCCAAGCUGUCACCAUUCAGCCCAUUAAUAAGCGGACCCUGGGCUGAAUUGAAAAAGGUUGUUUUGGGUAAGCCCAAUUUUCAGACCCAACAAUAAUAGGCCCAGAUUAGAAAUGGAGAAUCAUGGGUCACAAAAACAAGGACAAAUUAUGGCUAAUGGCUAAAGAAUUUAAUAACCCAUUUUCUGUCAUGCACCAACAACUAUUGAAAUAUAAUAAUUGCAUUUAAUGGGUUGUUCUCCAAACAUUAUUCAAUAUAGCUAAAGUUGGUCUAAGCAUUAAUAUUUUGAAUUUUUCACCUAUGUUUUCUAUCUAACAAUCAACACCUUGGUGGAAAAAAAAAUAAAAAUGUCAACGCCAUAAAAAGCAGAAAAAAUUUUUUAAAAAAUCCAUCAAAUGGCUAUCAUUGCUGUGCUUUGUUGUGGUUAAUGCCAUCAAUGGGGUGGGGGAAAAAACAAGAAGAAAAUCUUGGUUUCUUCUUAUCUAUUAUGCUUAUCUAAGAAGCCUAAUUAUGAGUCAUUUUUGAAAGGCAACAAAGAGCUGCCAAAGUAGCAUUAUGGGGUAUGCCCCUCUUUUAACCAUAUUUACCAUUUCUUUCUUCUAUGCUGAAAAGUUGUCACAAUAUGUUGACCUUAGUCCAUCAAUCAUACCUGCUUUUUUGUUUGAUACCUUCCUUAACCCAAGCCAUGUUAUUUAUACCCACUUUUAUCCCCUAUCAAAUCCAUCUUUAAAAAAAGGUUAAAGGGGAUUAGUCUUUGAUCAAAUUAAAGGAAAUAAGAUAAGAUAAAAGGCAUGUGUAUAUAUCAUUGUCCUUUGACACAAUUGAUGAGUGUAAAAGGCAAUUGAGAGAAGAGUGGCUGCAAGUCACAGCAUUGAUACCAACUUUGCUAGAAAUCCAAAAAGAAAAAUAACAAAAUAAGAAAUCAGAAGGUAACAAAAUAGUAAGAACAAUCGCAUAACAUACACUCAGAAAAGAACCCAAUUAUUAUGCUUUAUGAGACAAUAAACCCCAAAGAGAUUUUCAAUAAAUAAAUAAUUGGAUUGCAAGAUAUGUAUCAAAUUCAACAUUUUAGAACAAAAAUACAAAAUACUUAAAAAAACUUAUGAACUAUUUUGAAAAAAAUCAAAUAAACUCUUAUUGUUUUAUUGCAUUCAAUCAAAUAUCUCAUAUUUUCAUUUUAAGUCAAAUAAGCUCUUACAAUUAAUAAUUAACUAACUAUUAUUAGUAAAAAAUAUCAUUUAUCAUUUUAUAUCACGAAUGUAGCACUAAUGAGAUAUGCCGACAGGUUACAAUGAUAAGAACAUGAUAUGUUGAUGCGGAGUAAUGAUAUCAUCAUACAAUAUUUUUUACUUUUCAUGUCAGUGACAUAAAAAUGAUAGUCAAUCAUUAAUCACAAAACCUUAUUUUAAUUAAAUUAAAAAUAUAAGAGCUUGAUUGAGCAUAAUUAUACUAAAAAACUAUUUCAAAAACAAAUUAAAAAAUUGAAUAACUUUCAUUCGAUGGAACUAGCUUAAUACUUAUCUUAAUCACAAUCCUCUCCCAAAUUCAAGAUUAGGUAUAUCUGAUUUGGUGGGUGACAAGUUUUUCUAGUGACAUAGUUACCCUUGGAAUUUUGCUCCUUGUAGUAUUGUGUUUGUUAAUUUCUUAAAUUUUAUCUUUUAUUAUCUUUGUUGAGCAGUAAAUACAUGCAUUUGUUGCUAGGUGGUUACCUAGUUAGGUCAUCUGUUGUGUGGCUCACAAUAGGGCACAUGACCUUCUAAUCAUUCAACCAAGACUGAACAAAUUUCCACCCAUCAAUCUUUAUGUCUACUGAUUGUGUCAAUUAUUGCUUUUUAUAGAUUUCAUUAUCCAUUUUUACAGUGAUUUUUUUGAAUAAUAUGAACCCCUUUUUGAAAUAUUUCAGUGUUUUUAGCUAAUCUCAUGGAGCAGUAUAAUUGAAGCAAACAAUAUUAUUGCAUUUGAAUGAAUCAUAUGUGGAUUAAGAGUAGGAUUUGGAAACAUUUAUAAGUUUAAUAGAUUUCCAUUUUGAGUUUUUAUUCAAUAAUAAUUAUAUAUAUUUUAAAAGAUUAUAUUCAAAUAGCUUCCCAAUAUUAUUCUUAAAAGACUAGGAAAAUAGUGGUAUAGAUGACCCAAAGUUGAUUUAAUUUUUAGUACAUUUAUCUAAAAAAUUAGAAAUGAAAAAUUCAAAUUCUUUCUUUUCUUUUGAAUUUUCUAUUAUAUAUAUACAAAUAUAUAUAUAAAGAAACGAGUUAGAGUUCUUGUAUUGUUGAAUUAAACUCAACUAUACUUGUAAAGAACCCGGUGUCAAGUUUUUUUUUUUAAGAAAAAAGUGUUUAAUUCAUUUAAUAAAACUAUAAUAUAUAAUUUGUUAAAAAGUUACAAUUGAUUUCAACUUUUAUAAAACCAAUAAAAAAUGUUUUCCAAUUUUGUUUAUUUUUAACCUAAUUUUGAUUUCCAAAAAUGAUGAAUUGUUUUAAAAAAUUGCACUUAUCAAUAAAUGCCUGUGUCGAAGAUUUCACAUCAAUAAGAGAUUAGAUUAAUUUUGAACUUAUAAGUAAGAGGUUUAUUUUACUUAAUAAGCAUGUCUUCUAGAUUAAAAAUAUGAGUAUAUUACCAUAAAUAUCAGAACUUACUCAACUUUUCAUUUAUGUAAAACUCUCUUGAGAGAUAUUAGGAUUAGUGAAAGAAUGUUAGGUUUGGGUCGGUGAAAGGAAGGAUGUGAAAUCCUCAUGAGAGAAACCAGUGUUAGAGAAAUAAGAGCUGAUGUGAAACUCAAGGUCGAGAUUAGUGAAAUGGGGACUGAGGUAUCAAGGCCAGUGAAAUAAGAGUUGAUGUGAAACCCUCAUGAAAGAUAUCAAUGUCAAUAAAAUAAGGUUGAUGUAAAACUCUCAUGAGAGAUAUUAAAGUCGAGCUAAUUCAAUAAAAAGAUUAAACCUAAUAGAUAUAUUUUUUUAUUGAAGAUAUGGACAAAACAUGCUGGAGCACAUAUAUCAAUUAAUAGAAAAAAUAUAUAUAUCAUGGACGUAAAAGUCAAAAACAAAUUUCCCAACCAUUUUAAUAAAUGCUGAAAAAUAUUAAUUAAUAUAAAAAUAAAAAGAUAGGAAAAGAGGUGGGUUUGGUGAGAUUCACAUGAGAAAGGGGUAGGAUUAGUUGACCACACAAAAACCCAAAAGAAAAGUAAAUGUUUGCUACUAAUAUCCUCUUCAAAUUUUCAUCUGUUUUUCGUUCUCUUAAUCUUUUGAUUUGAUUAAAUUGAAUAGAUUCACUUAACUUAUUUCCAAGUCAUUACUUAGAUCACGGCACCUGCCCCCAUCAACUCCUCCCCGUGACGUCCGCCUUCCGCCGCUCUUUUCCACCGGCUAGAUCCGGUCAGCAUUUCCUCUCCUUUGACUCCCUUGCUUCCCUCAACUUGAUUCAUUUCCACUCUCGCAUUCGUCCACGCGCUUCCCCCUUCUUUCGAGUAAAAUUAUGUAGUACAAAGAGGCCAGUGAUGUCCACGCGCUGGAAACGAAAGUAAGAGUAGAAUCUAUGUUAAGUCCUAGUUAGAGCGCACCCACAAAAACAUGUCCAACCUCAUCAUUAUUUGGUUUUUUUUUUUCAAGACAGAAAAGGAAAAAAGAAACUGACAAAUGUAGGUAUUGACAAUCAGAAGCAGAGCAAAACUCCAAAACAAAAAUUAUAAUUAAAAAAUAAUGCAAUUUAGGUUCCAAAAGUCAGCUCUGAUGUCUUCACAUUUCAAAUCACUCUCCCAAAUGUACCUUCUUUGCUGCUUGUUUUUGUCCAAUAAAAUACAGAUUCUCUCUCUACACUAACAGCAAAGAAAAGAACUUUCCUUUUCUUUGCUUUUUCCUUUCAAUUUUUUUUAUCUUCUUUUGAUUUGAAAUGUCUUCUCUCUUAAGAUUCUGUCCUAUUUUUUUUGCUUUGAAAAUCAAUGAGAGAGAAAUUAAAAACGUCUAGCUUUGAAAUUAGAGUGCGCAAGUAAGACCCUUUUGUGGAAAAAGAGAAGUUGGCCACUGUUGAAUUAUAAAUAUAUUUUUUUGGGAGUGUUGGGUUCUGAGGAAGCUAUUACUUCACCAACAAGUGAAGCUACACAGAUAGAUAGUAAGAACUAGGAAGGUUUUGGCUUAUAAAGUGUUUUUUUUCUUUGUUUGAGUCUUGGGAUCUGAAUAUUGUUUUUCGUUGAAAAGAUUCGAUCUUGGCUACUCUUUAAGCUACUGAUUUACUAGGAAGGUGAUUUUGAGAACUGGGUCUAUCUCAUUUUCCUCUAAAAAGGGUUGGUUUUGUUCAACAAUUUAGGCUUCUGGUAAGUGUUUAUUGCUUUAUUUGCACGUUCUUUGUUGUUGGUUUUUGUUUUGGUUGUAUUUUAUGAGAGGGUAUGUUUUGGGAUGUGAGGAAAGUUGCUUCAGUUAGGAGUUUUCUUUUUUCCUUCAAUAGGGGGUAGUUGUUUUACCAAAACACUUUCAUGUGUGGACUUAAGUUCUGAAUUUCUUGAUUUAUGGUCUUGGGAUUUGAUUUUUUUUUUCAGGUAGGGAUUGUUGAUCUCAAUAUAUUUUUCACCGUUAGCUUCAAUUUCCCAGUUGCCAAGUUGAGUAUUUGCUGGAUAGUUCUUUCGGAAUGUGGGCAUGUAAGUUACUCUAUCUGGGUUUUCUUUCUCUUUCUUUGCAUAUGAAAAGCAGUGAACGUUGUCAAUUAUGUCAUAUUGAAUGAAUUUGUUAAGUUGGGAUUCUUCCUUUUGCUUUCAGAAAUGGUGAUUCUGGGGUAUAUUCCGAUGACUUUCCUUAAUUGGGUAUUCUUGGCUUGCUUUAUUUGUUCUGCACUGAGUCUUGAAACCUCAGGCCAAUCCUGUUAUCCAAAUGAUGUGUUGGCACUGAAAGAAUUUGCUGGAAACCUCACAGGGGGGUCCAUCAUCACAGCCUGGUCUGAUGAAUCUGUUUGCUGCCAAUGGGAUGGUGUUGUUUGUGGGAAUAAGAGUAGUGUCUCAGCUUCUAGCAGAGUGAUCAGCUUGAUCUUGCCUAAAAGGGGUCUCAAAGGGAAUAUUUCAAGCUCUUUGGCGAGAUUAGAUCAGCUGAGAUGGCUUGAUCUUUCUUGCAAUCAUCUUGAGGAUGUACUGCCUUUAGAGCUCUCAAAUUUGAAGCAGCUAGAGUUUCUUGAUUUGAGCUAUAACAUGCUGUCAGGACCAGUUUCUAAAUCGUUUUCUGGUUUGACAUCAAUUCAAUGGCUGAAUAUUUCAAGCAAUUCAUUUAAUGGGGACCUGUUAGAGUUUGGCUGGUUUCCAGAUGUUGCUGUGUUCAACUUGAGCAACAAUUCAUUUACUGGCCAAGUCAGUUCUCAAGUCUGCAGUUACUCCAAACGGAUUCAGGUUCUUGAUUUAUCAAUGAACCGCUUAGUAGGGAGUCUUGAAGGCCUAAACAAUUGCAGUAUCUCUCUACAACAGCUGCAUUUGGAUUAUAAUUUGCUCUCAGGCUAUCUUCCGGACUCUUUGUACUCAAUGACAUCAUUGGAGCGACUCUCAAUCACUGGGAACAAUUUCUCAGGACAAUUAAGCAAGAAAUUGAGUAAGCUCUCUAGCCUUAAAUCCUUGAUUAUUUCUGGAAACCAUUUUUCUGGUACACUUCCGGAUGUGUUUGGGAAUCUUGCACGAUUGGAGCUGUUAUGUGCACACUCAAAUUUGUUUUCUGGACCCGUGCCUUCAUCCCUCGCACUCUGCUCAAAGCUUCGUGUACUUGAUCUCCGGAACAAUUCAUUAAGUGGUCCUCUUGAUCUCAAUUUCACUGGAAUGCCUAGUCUCAUUCAACUUGAUCUUGCUACUAAUCAUUUUUCUGGUUCCCUUCCCACUUCCCUGUCUGAUUGUAAAGAACUGCAAGUUUUGAGCCUGGCCAAGAAUAAGUUCAGUAGCCAAAUCCCUGAGACUUUUGCCAAUCUCAGAUCACUUGUGUUUCUCUCACUGUCAAAUAAUAGUUUUAUUGAUUUGUCUGGGGCCCUAUCUGUCCUUCAGCAAUGCAAAAACCUUACCAUUCUUAUCCUUACAAAAAAUUUCCAUGGGGAGGAGAUUCCCAGAAAUAUAAGUGGGUUUGAGAGCUUAAUGGUUUUCGCACUUGGGAAUUGUGCUCUGAAAGGCCAAAUACCAGAUUGGCUGUCGGGUUGCAGGAAGCUAGAAGUUUUAGAUUUAUCAUGGAAUCACUUAAACGGCAUUAUCCCACCCUGGAUUGGUCAGAUGGAGAAUUUGUUUUACUUGGACUUCUCAAAUAACUCUCUCACCGGAGAAAUUCCAAAGAGUUUGACAGAGCUAAAGGGCCUUGUUUCUUCAAAUUGCAGCUUUUCCACUCUUUCAUCUGCAGCUGGGAUCCCACUAUAUGUAAAGAGAAACCAGAGUGCUAGUGGUCUUCCAUACAACCAGCUUUCAAGUUUCCCCCCAUCGUUAUAUUUGAGCAAUAAUAGAUUAAAUGGGACAAUUUUGCCUGAAAUUGGGCUAUUAAAGCAGCUUCAUGUCUUAGAUUUGAGCCGGAAUAACAUCACUGGGGUCAUUCCUGAUUCCAUUUCCAAUAUGGAGAACUUGGAAAUUUUAGAUUUGUCAUACAAUGACUUGCAUGGGUCAAUACCCCAAUCAUUUGCCAAGCUCACGUUUCUGUCAAAAUUUAGUGUGGCAUAUAAUCACUUGCAGGGUGUGAUUCCAACUGGUGGGCAGUUUUAUAGCUUUUCCAGCUCAAGCUUUGAGGGGAACCCUGGACUUUGUGGGAAAAUAGUCUCUCCUUGUCAUGUUGUGGACAGUAGUAUGCUCAGGCCAGCUAUUCCAUCUGGCCCAAACAACAAAUUUGGUCGAAGCAGCAUCCUUGGAAUAACAGUGAGUAUAGGAGUUGGGAUUUUGUUGCUUCUUGCCAUUGUUCUACUUAGAAUGUCAAGGAGGGAUGUUGGCGAUCCGAUUGAUGAUUUGGAUGAGGAACUCAGCAGGUCACACAGGUUAUCUGAAGCCCUUGGCUCAUCAAAAUUGGUUCUUUUCCAGAGUUCAAACUGCAAGGAGCUCACAGUUACAGACUUGUUAAAAUCUACAAACAAUUUUAACCAAGCAAACAUAAUUGGUUGUGGUGGGUUUGGACUGGUUUAUAAAGCGUACCUUCCAGAUGGUACAAAAGCUGCAGUCAAGAGGCUUUCUGGUGAUUGUGGUCAGAUGGAACGUGAAUUCCGAGCUGAAGUUGAAGCUCUUUCAAGAGCUCAGCACAAGAACCUUGUUUCUCUUCAAGGUUAUUGUAAGCAUGGCAAUGAUAGGUUAUUAAUUUAUUCCUAUAUGGAAAACGGAAGCUUGGAUUAUUGGCUGCAUGAAAGUGUUGAUGGGUCUUCAAUUCUCAAAUGGGAUGUAAGACUUAAGAUAGCUCAAGGAGCAGCUCGUGGGUUAGCUUACUUGCACAAGGUUUGCGAACCAAACAUAGUUCAUCGAGAUGUAAAAUCUAGCAACAUACUUUUGGAUGAAAAAUUUGAAGCUCAUUUAGCAGACUUUGGUCUCUCAAGGCUACUUCGCCCAUAUGAUACCCAUGUCACAACAGAUUUAGUUGGAACACUGGGUUAUAUUCCUCCAGAGUACAGUCAGACGCUAACUGCAACCUGCAGAGGUGAUGUUUACAGUUUUGGUGUUGUUCUUCUGGAGCUUCUUACUGGUAGAAGGCCUGUGGAAGUAUGCAAAGGAAAAAAUUGCAGGGAUUUGGUGUCUUGGGUGUUUCAGAUGAAAUCUGAAAAAAGGGAGGCAGAAAUUAUAGAUCCAUCAAUAUGGGACAAGGAUCGUGAAAAGCAGCUGUUGGAAAUGCUUGAAAUUGCCUGUAAAUGCUUAGACCAGGAUCCAAGGCGGAGACCCUUAAUUGAUGAAGUUGUUUCAUGGCUGAAUGGUAUUGAAAAUGAGGUUGUUCAACAAUGAACCUUCAUUGGUUUGUUUACUCUUUGAAAUCUUAGUCGGGAGGGUAUACCUGUAAAGCAAACAUUGUCAAGUUUCUAUAACAUUGGAAGGAGUCCUGACCAAAUGACUUUGAUUUGUUGCAGAAACGAUCAUUUGGCAUUGUAUACUAACGGUUGAGAGUUGUAUACAUAGGCUAUUUUGGCCAUUUGUUCUACCUGAAAUAAGUAAUUAUAGAAUAUCUAAUUAUUUCCUCUAAUUUUUCCUCUCUGAAUCAGGAACAGGGUGUCAGGUGAAAUGCAAUCUUUAUCUUUAUACACAUACAUAAUGGUCGAAAUGGACUACUUUUUUGGUUCUCUUAGUAUGAUCAUUGAUUCUUUCUCUAUCAUGAUUUCAUUUGAAUGGAUGAAAUGAUGCCUCUCAAGUCUUUGUAAGAAGAAACAACUUAGUUUUGUUGCACUGAUCAUAAUUAUCCACGCCAUUGUUCAUUGUGAAUUCAUUUGCUUCUUGAACCGGUCAGGAGUGCGCGCAUGACAUGAUGCUUUUAUGACUUAAAAAAUGCUAAUUAUGAUCAUUACAUGACUUCACUGAUUACUUGAUUCAUAGUCAAUGCACCAAACUGAUACUAUUAUAUUGGUUUCCUGGUUGAGAAAAAAGCUCUCAUGGCUAUUAUCAUGCCCCGGGGUCCCUUUCCCAAAGCCACAGAGCUUUGCACUUGAUUCUCGUAAUUCCUUUGCCCUGAACUCAUGGAAUGGAGAUAUAUUAGUAUCUGGAAUAUUUUUCUAUGACCUAUAUACGUCAGUUAUCUUCAGCAUCUGUAAUGACUUCUUUCCACUUACCUGUCCUGAAGUUGGCAAAUGUUGUAAUGGUUCAAAAUUUUGGUUAGAGAUGGCUCUACUACUUUAGAGGAAAUCGACAAAUUGUGGUGUUUCAACAAAAGUUGAAGGACUCUAUUGAAAUGGAUGGAUGGAUAGUUGUCAAAACCUUCUCACUUUGUAGAAUCCAGGAAACUAUAUCAUCAUAUCUGCUAUCUGCUAUAUACAUUCUUUGGAGCCAUGGGGAAUAAGAAGAAAGCAUUGGGUUUUGCUUUGCUUGCAAUUUGCACAAAGAAGCUUGAGAAAGUAAGCAAGCAUCCAAGGUUCCAAGUAGGUUCUUUUCCCCCCAUUAGUUUGAAUAGGAACUUGAAAAACAUGUUAAAAAAAUAAAGCACUUCUCUUUUCUCCUUUCUUUUCCACCUUUUGGGGGCAGAGGCGUAGGGGCUAUAAGGAGUAGUUAUCUGUCAAAUAAAUGAGGUUUGAGACAUGGGUAUUCUCCUUUUGACUUUGCUGGUGUUGCCCAACAAAAGCCAAUCAUCAACAUCCAAAAAGCAAGAUAAACUGAUAUGAAAUGCUGUUUUAUAGUAUAAGACGUGGACAAUUCCCUUGGAUUUUCUUCUGCUUUUUUUCUGAUUGGCAAAAACAUUGUAUGAGAAACUCUAAAAGAGGCUUUUGGAAAAGAGUGAGAUUCUUUUGUUAAGUGUAAUAAGACGCUGGAAGAAACUAAUGCCAAAACAAAAAGUCCUCCUAUCCCUGCAAAGCUUGGAAGUCUUGACAUUAUAAAUAGAAUUAACCAUUUUUGGUUAUUGAAAUUUUCAGUUCAAGAGAAGAGGGUGAAAACAUUUUUCAAACACGUCUUUUUAGAUGAUGUUGAUAUAUCAAGAUACCCUUAUAAACAGCUAUGCAACAAUUUGCCAUGAGUUGAAAACAGGCCAGAUACAGUACAGACAUGAUUAUCAUGAUUCAUGAUGGGGAAUUGAGUCGAAGAGUUGUAGGAAAGUUUUAACUGUUUGGGUUCAUAUUUCAUUUUCACAUUACAAGAUUUGAGUAUGAGAGAAAGAAAAGAAAGAAAAACUUGUAAGAUUUACUGAAGAAGAUGAAAGUGUCCAGGCUUCUUGUCAUGAUAGUCCAUGAGAAAUGAAAAUGGAAGGGGAAAAGAACAAAGGGUAAUUGCCCAAAUAUUGACCUUUCACUGCUCAACUGAAUGUCUUGACUCAAUUCCAACUGUACAUUUUUAAGUUCAUCUUAAAAACCAUGAAUUAAUAUCUUUGUUUAUUGAGCUUGGUAAGCUUGGAAUGCAGAUACUGACUCUGAUCUGAAGAAUGACCUGAUGAUAUCAGCCUUCAUUCAGUGUUAUUCUUUCCCUAAAAGGUAACAACAUGGCCUAGUUGCCCUGUAGUUUUUGUACCCAUUGUUCUUAUCGAACAAGUUUCUUCAGCAUUGUUUGGUCCUAAAUCAAUCAAUCAAUCAAUAGCUUUUAGGUGGUGACUUUGGGGAUUUUAUGGCGGGAAUAAUUUUGGGUUGAAGUUUGACAUUGGCAACUUUGUCCCUCCUGUGUUUCAUGUUCAUGAUUUUUCAAAAAAAAACAGUGGAUAGGCCUCACUCACAUAUGUCAAAUGUUCCUUAUGAUCCUAUCCAGAGGAAGAAACUAAGGUCACUUGCCAUGUCAGAAUAGAAAAUUGAAUGUCUAUAUAAUAUUGUGAUAGGUCCAUUUGCACCAACUAUGUCCUCUUCUCAACUCAUGUAUAUCAAAGUCCUUACCUAAAUGGAAAAUAGGUGAACCUAUAGUUUGAAAAUUUUUCCAUGUUCCUGCUUUUAGUCUUCAAAUUAGGAACAUGUUCCAUGCAAGUACCAAGAAUGGUGUUUUUGUUAAAAUUUUUCUUUCCAACUAAGUUACAUAAUUAAAAAUUCAUAUUACAUGUCAAAAAAUUUCUAAAUUAAUAAAAAAAAGAUUUAAUUUUUCUCUUUCACAUAUACUAAAGACGAAAUUAAGUAUAAUUACAUAUGACAAUUAUAUAUGGUAAAGAAGCAAAUACAAAUUAAUCAUAUAAUGCACUUUUGCAUGCUCAUCCAUACCUCCCAAUUCUAUGUAGGAUGUGUACAGAGAAUCACUAUAACAUCUUAAUUUAUGAAAAAUGAGAAUUUUUUAUUAUUUCACUGGGGAAAGUUUCCUUUAAUUUUUCUGUUGAUUUUUAAAUGUUUGUGUGAUCACUAUUCACUAGUGUCUCAUAUCAACAGGGAAAGCAUGGUUAUGCAGGUGAAAAGGAGAAAAUAGUUUGUUGCUUUCACAUUUUUCAUGUCUUUUCUUGGUUGGGUUUCCCUUUUGUUGCCAAGAUAUUUUGCUUCAAGGAGAUUAGCUUUCUCUCUCUCUUUUUCCCCUCCUAGUAAUGAAGAUUGCACAAGCCUUUCUGUAGUGGGUGCAGAUAAACACUUUCUUUAAGGCCUGGGUCUGAAUUAGACCAACCCAAGCAUACCAAACCCAAGACUUUGAAUCGACCCAUGGAACCUAAACCUUAAUUAUGGAUCUACAAUUAAAGCCCAUAGCUAGGGUCCUGAAUCCUGAUGGAACAGGUGCAGGUUAGACCCUUUUGAAUCAUCAUCACCAUUCACCAUGCAACAGCACCACCGGUUUGUGGAACCAUGACCAAAACUCCAUGAACAACCCACAAAAAUUACUCAUCCUCGGCGUGUCCCCAAAGGACCAAAAGGUGUCUUACUCCUUCCACAUGUCACUUCUAUAGCAUGACAAGUUUCCUUUGUUUUUCUGACGCUCCCACCAUCAAAGUUUGAGUAUAAUUAGGAACCCUGGUGAAGAGGUGCAAAGAGGAUAAUAACAGUUUCAGCACAAGAAACCAAAAAUUAUACAAAGUAAAAAAUGGAAGCAACAUUUUUGGCUAAGAGAACUCUCUUCAACAUCCCAAAGUUCUUGCCUCAAAGCCCUCCUGGAAUCCAAUCUACCAGAAGAGUUACCAGGGCUUGCUUAUCCACUGCUUAUGAGCGUGCCGAAGUAAGAACUUAUUCAUUUUCUUUUUACAUUUUUUUUAGUGAUUCACUUCUGCAUUUAAUGUUAAGAUAUUUACUUCAUUAAUACCUUUACAAGUGUCUUAAGAUUGAUUGUUAAUUGAUAAAAUUAAUAUGCAGGGAAGCAACGCAGUAGUAGAAGAAGAAGGGUCAUCAGAUAUAACAGAUGCACCAAGAGAUUACAUAAGAGACGGCAAGUACGAAGCCAAACGGUUUCCACCGGAGAAGGCAGGCCGCCGGGCAGCAAGACAAGCUUCGCGGCGGAUAGUGCCGAAGAUGGAAUUAAAAGGGCCGUGGAGAUGGCAGAAUAUGUGGGAGAUACGGCUAAGAAGACCCUGGAUGGAGCUUGGGAAGCAGCUAAAGAUACCGCACAAGGUAUAAAAGAAAGGGUGACUGAAAACGAUGAUGAUAAUGAAGAGGAUGUUGCAGUUGACGAGAUUAGGAAAGCUGAUCAGAUUGUUGACACACAAGAAUAUAGGAGUGUUGAUGAAUUGAGGGCCAAAACUGGAGGGUAUGAUAAGGCACAUUGAGAAGCUUAAAUUGUUCAUGGAAUCACUUUUUCUUUCAAUGUUUUGUCAUGCACAAUUAUAUGUUUAUCAAAUAGUUUGGUUACACAGUGAGAUUAGUUCUCCAUUAUCAACAUAUUCCAUCAACCUUCUCUUCUAAGAGAAGCAGUACUACUUUCAAAUCUCACUGCAGCCUUACCAAACUAGAUUUUCUAGCAGGAUUGUAUGUAUGAAUCUGACCUUAAAUGAAGCAAGUUCGAAGAAAAACAGGAUGGGGAUUCCCCCAAAUAACUAAACAAAUAGACAAUCCUAGAGCAAGAUGUUGCAUGCCCCAUUGGCAAUAAGUGUUCAUGGGUCACGUUAGGCUCAUUACAAGAGCUUGCUUGGAGUAAAAUUUGCGUAAAAAUCACUUGUACUGAUCUUCACUAACCAACGCAAUCCUCUGUUAGUUAAUUCUAAUUCCUGCGUAAUUAAUUUGCAACAAUUUGAUAUAUAUAGGAUAGGAUAGAUGUGGGAAUUGGUCAUGGACUAAAUUUAUUCACAAAUGAAAGUGGAGCAAAGAACUAGAACCUGAGGUCCAAAAUUAUUAGCUCUCCCUUUCGAAACAAAAACCAGGACAUUCUUUCAGGGAAAGGCAAUAUUGGUGGUGCACUAAGAGUACUGUGAGGGCCAAUCCAUAUGGCGAUGCGAAGUUGUCCAAUGUUUGUCGAUUUGCAUGGCUGUAGAAAACAAGACUCCUGGAAUCCGAUACGCUGUCUACGUAAUUUUCCAGUGUGGAAAGAAGAGAUUGAUAAUAAAAUGAGAUAAGAAAGCAAAGGAGGAAAGAGCCAAUGUAUAGAUUUUAAGGCCAUUUCGAGAGCGAUCCUUUCAAAGGAAGAGUAGCGGGCAUCACCAAUCAAUCAUUGUAAGUGAAAUGUGAGUAUUCUUUUGGACAUCCCCAUAACAAGAGAAAAGAAAAGUGCACCUUUUGCAUAACAUUAUCUAAAUAUAUCUGUAAAGUCAAAUGAUAUACAGUUAUUUCAAUCUCUAUGUUUUUUUUUUAUGUACAUUUUAUAUAAAAGAAAAACCAUGAAAUAUCAAAUAUACUAUCAUUAUUUGGAAAGCAUAUUGCUGAAAAAGACCUAUAGAUAAUAUAUGUCUCAUCAAAACAGCUGUAUAUCUUUCUUUAUAGAAUAGUUCUCCCAUAUAUAUCAUAAGUUCCAAACUUUGCCUUAAAUCAAUGCUUGCAUCUUUAUAUCCUAUAUGAGGAGGAAGGAUAAGGGGGGAUGUGAUAUUGGGUUGUAAAGACAAUGGGAAAAGCUAAAAUUUGAUGCAAAGUUAAGCUUAAAUCUGCCAUGUUCAAGUCUAAUACAUAGUUAAGGCCAUAAGUAAAAGGAAACAAAGCAAGAGAAUCCAAAAGAAGAGAGCGGAAAUGGACCAAAACCCAACUGAGGAUCGAUUGAGAGUGAUGGGGCAUUUUUAUUUUUGUUUGGUUCAGAAAGAGUGAUGGGGGCAUUUGAUGGUAUAUGUAGAAUGAUUGUAGUAUUAAGGCAUUUUCGUUUACUCGAAAAAGAGCGACGCGGAAGAGUGGGGAGGUGAAAGGUAGCCAUAGAUAGGACCACGGUGGUACUAUGGGCGGAAUAUGAAUAUAGUUGGCACCCAUUUGGAUCUUUCAUGCCUCUUAUAUGAUUCUCAUCAUCAUCGAUAUAAGAUAAGCUUUUCUCCACCUAACUUCUUACCCAAGUCAGAAUAAAACCUUGUUAAUUACUACUUUAGUUUAACCUAACUAGUCAGUCGAGGUUAAACCCAGAAUUUUUAAGGCACUAAAGAUGUAGAAAACUAUAUGAUAUAUCUUGCAAAAUACCUAUGGUAUCACAUGAUCUGUUUCAUUACCCACAGCAGAAGUUGCUGACUGUUUUCACUAAUCACUGAUCCCCUAUUUUAAUUCAGCAUUUUUUCGGAUGUUCAUUGUUUAACCUAGACAAGACAUUAAUGGCAGUAAAAGAGAUGUGAGAGUGAAAUGGGAGAGUGACAGAUGAGAGUGAAAAUAUCAUUUUGCAAUAUAAUUUUAAUUCAAAAAGUUUUGACUCCUUUGGUUGGCUUUUUCUUUUUUCUUUUUUUUUUUUACACACGCGCGCAUGCACACAUAAACGUAAAGACUCAAGCCGAUUAGUUCUGCACUGUUAAUUUUUGGCUGAACAUUUUUGUUGAGUACCUAGUACAAUGGCCAUGUGAAACCUUGUGUUGUGUCAAUGUCACUAGUUCAAUUUUUUGCAAGCUUCCCCCAGUUUUGUCCUGGUAAAACAUACUGGUAAAAGUGAGUUUACACUCAUGCAUGUAAUGAAACUCAAUGAUAUACACAUGGUAAUCGAAGGAAAUAUUGCUUUCACAUCUGGUAAAGACAGAAAUAGAUAAAGUAGAAUAGGGAAUAAAGCAUGGACUAAAGACUGGUGAGCUACUAGCCCAUUUGAAUGGAGAAAGCAUAGGGUACUCUGCUACACUAAAAGCUUGUCCAACUCAAACAGGCAGAAUUUUUUUGUGAACCAUUGGUGCUGUACAGUCUAUUAUAGGAUUCAUUCAAUUACCUUUGAUAUGUCUCUCUCAAGGGUCUCUCAGCACCACAGGUGUUAAAUUUUACAAAGCUGUAGAAUUUGUUCUCAACUUACUUUCCUUUCUUUUUUCUUAUUUUUCUUACUAUAUAGAACUUGGAAAAACUAAACAAUGCCUUGUCUCGUUACAAAUCAAAUUUGGAGUUAGUUUUAAGAACCCUAUCUUUUUUUUAAGGUCUAAUUGUUUCGAAUUAUACAGUAAGAGAUAACCCUUUCCAUUUGCGUUAAUGCGCUCCUACUGUAUAAGUAAAUCACAUUAAUUAUGUAUGUUUGAGCUCAGGACAUGUAUAUUCCCAUUGCUAUGAGGCAAAAAGCAUAAGUUCUGGUUUUGAAAGGAAUUUUAACUUAAGGAGAACUGAACAAAGAGAAAUCAGACAAUAUAGCCAUAUAGGAUUAGUGAUCUGAAACAAUUACAGCGGACGGACCAAUGAAAGCUUUGUUGAAGUCUAAUAGAUACUGCGUCUAUCUGUAAGGUUUUGUUGCUUUCCUCAGGUGAUGAUGCUGUGUGAAACAUGUGCCAUCAUCGUCCAAAUUUCAAGGAGGGACAAUUGAUACAAUCCCCAUUAAGAAGCAAGUAGCAACCUACUCUCUUAAAACCUAGUUUUAGAGUUUAAAACAUCACCUGGUGAACUCAAAGUAACUUGGGAGAAGCAAUAAUUGAGGUUGUGGGAUUCACCAAUGAUCAAAAUUUAGGCCUGAAAACUUCCAGUAAUUGCAUAUAAGAACAAACCAAUCCACAGCUGCUUCUUUUUGAACUUCCAAUCAUUCACCAUACAACACUACACUGACACACAAGCAAACAUACAACAAGAAAAUGUUGCUUGUGGUCCUCAACUUUUUUUUUUCCACCUUUUUUUUUUCUUUCACUCUGUUCUCCUUCAUUUCUUCAAAGUCCCACAAACUUAGCUCCCAACAUUUUAUCACUUCUCCAUUAUAUAUAUCUCCUUCUCCUGCAAUGGAAACUACAGACUUCAGAAGAAAGAGUGCUUUGAAAACAAAGAUGAAUAAGGGUUUCAUAGCCGAAGAUCUGGACGAUGACAUGGAGGAAGAAGAAGAAGAGGGUGUUGGUGAUCAUGGUUUUCCAGAUGAUGAAAAGAAGAAGAAAGCAUAUGGAAAGAGAGGGUCAAGUGGUGGUGCUGGGGUGUCACCGCCUUCUUGUCAAGUGGAAAAAUGUGGGCUUGAUUUAUCCGAUGCCAAGCGAUACCACAGGCGCCAUAAGGUGUGUGAGAUUCAUGCCAAGGCGCCGUUUGUGGUUGUUGCUGGCCUCAGGCAGCGCUUCUGUCAACAAUGCAGCAGGUUUUGGUUUUGUUCAUAUUUUGAUUAUUCCUUCAGUUACUUAUAGAAGAAUUCAUUUUAAUCUUAAUUCAAGCUACUCUUAACACUUAAAAUUUAAUUACUUGACCUACAAGUCAAUCAAUUUAAACUUAAAGUUCAAUGGUUCUUCAUUACAGUAUUAACACCUACUUAUUCCAUAUUUUAAACCAUCUGAGCUUAAUGGGAUAAUUGAAACACAUUAAUUGAAGAUCUUUGCAGAACAUAUCUACUGCCCUGCAUCAAGAAAUCAGGUGCAAAAACCAAUAAAGAAGUUACUACAUUCAGUGAAUUAGAGGGUUUCUCUAUUUUUCUGUUAAUAAUGAAGUUGAAUUGAGUGAGACUUCUCUGCUAAAAGGAAAGGAAAUUCCCAAGAUUUUUAUUUCAGGAUCUUUUUCUUUACCUACAUGUAUUCAGAAACAAAGUAGACCACAGUGAAAACAAAUAAUUCAUUUGGCUAUAUUUCCCUUUUAGUUAUUCCCUUGUGGAAUACCCUCUUCUUAAUUUGCAUUCCAAUUAUGGCACGAGAAUGCUUUCACAGUUUUGACAGCUAGAAUUUUUCCUCUUUGUUUCCUUUCUUUCCAACAAGAGCACUCUAGUUCUAACGUAAGAUGUUAACCAAAUCUGAAACACCACGACCACUUGCAUUUUCAUAUUUUACCUUAGUAAAUGUCCCUUGGACAUUUCAACUCUCAUGAAGGUAAUGGCUUGAUUUAAAUGUACCUGUAGUUUCAACCUACAGUAGUAGACUAGACAUAAAACAGGGCAAUUAUCUUAACAAUUAUACUUAGGUCAAUAUUUCAUGGGAUACUUCACAGGUUCCAUGAGCUAUCAGAGUUUGAUGAAGCAAAAAGGAGCUGUCGUAGGCGUUUGGCCGGGCACAACGAAAGGCGUAGGAAGAGCUCAGCAGAAUCAUCUACAGAAGGCUCGAGCCGCAAAGGGAUGAGUUCUCAGUUGAGAGAGAGUCAAUGCAGGCAGGCUGAUGAUCAAAGAGCCAGAGUUCCAAUAGCAAUCCCAGGCAAUUCAUCUUUUAAGCGUUCCCAAAACAGAUAAGGAGCUUAAUGACCAAAACAUCAGCAGCAUGCUCCCUCUCUUCUGUCAGCCAAUGGUUUAUGCAUUUCACUAUGUACUGGUACUUACUAUACUACGUUGGAGGAUUCAAUAACUAUAUCAGGCAUAGAAAUUUAAGUCUAGUAUCAGUGCUUCUGAAGCCUGUGUUCUCGUGUCUUGCCUGCCGCGUAAUCUAGGCUUUCUGUACUGAUAACCCUUUAUCUAUGGAGUCUUCUAUUGUAUCAAUGGUUAUAUCCAUAUUCCCUAUGAACUGGUUGAUCGCUAACCUUUGCAUUUGUUUUCAAGUAAUGGGUAUGAUAUAUUUGAUGGGUAAGUGUUAUAUACAUGAUAUUGGCCAUAGCUGGACCAAGAGGGAAGGAUCAUCUUUAUUGAACCAAAUGUCUCAUGUUGCAAAGUAAUGAUAUCUAACCUCAAAGUUAGUUUGCACCCGAAUAUUUAUUUUAUUGAUUGGUGCGUAAUCCCCUAUCCAGACAGCAGGAUUCAAAUUCCUUUUCCCUUAAUUAUUGAAAACAAAAAAAACCUCAAAUUUGGUUAGCGUGACAAAAGUAUAACAAUCUAUUUCGACUAAGACUUGGCCAACUCAAAAUUGACUUGAAAUCAAAUUUGAUAUUUUCUGAUCCAACUUGGCUUGUUAAAUUGCAAUAUGUAGUCAUGUGAUUAAUUUGGUUGGAAACCACUAAAGUAACAUUUACAGAAUGUUAAACUACUACUUCAUCUGGAGAUUCCCAUUUUUUCUAUAUUACUUCUGAGGAAAAAUGUUUCAGUAAUUCAGCUGAAAUGCUAAAGAAGUAUGAAACCUAGGCUUGAAUGUUCCCACUACAAACAUAACGAAUAUCGGUGCAAUGCCAGAAGCAACUAGUUAGGUACAUAGAGCAGAACAAUCUGUUUACAUUUGAAUCUAUUUAGUUUAUUAGACAGCUUCAUUACAGUUUGCUUAUGUAUAAAAAGCUUCUGAUAUGACACAAUAUGCAUAACAUUCUUUUAACAUAACAAAGGUACUUUCACUUCAUUUGUGAAGAGAUUGUUAUGAAACAGAAGAAAGACAGUUGCCACACUCAAGAUCACUAAAAUCUUACAACGACGCAGGAAAUGUCAUCUGUGCUGUUCCUCUUUACAGCCUCCUCAGUUAGGCGCUUUGCUGCAGACCUGGCAUCCUUAAUGUUCCUAAUAGCAUCGACAGCUUCUUGGUUCGUCAUUACCUGGAAUCAGUUUGAAGGAAAAGACUAAUCAGUCUGGGGUGCAAUGUGUAGUUUCAACAUAUAAAAAAAAGGCAUAAAGUGGAAGAGUAAUAUUGUCAUGAGAUUAUGACACAAUUAGAUAGGGCCAACCUUCCAUAAACCAUCGCUUGCUAAUAUUAUCAACUCCAUAUCAUCACCUAUCAUCUCUACGGUCACAUCUGGCUCUGAACUAAGAUGUUCCUUUAAGCUCUUGUCACCAAAUGCCCUUGACACUGCCAACUGCCCGUCAACACGUGGAACAUCCCCUGAAAUGAGAACAGAACUUACACUGUUCAUGAUCAGAGCAGAUGAGGAGGGUGUAACUUUGAGUAUAAUGACCAGAAAAAAGGUUCAUUUCAAAUUCUACAACAACGUGAUCAAGUCAUCACGAGAUCUCCAAAUGAAGCCUGAAAAAGAUCGGCACUCAUUACCUGGAAAGUUUGAUACAAAACCACCUCUAUUUUCAAUGCUCUCCUUUUCUGUGGUGGGCUCAUGAUCAAUUGACAGCUGUUUAGCCUCACCAUUCUUACAGAUAACAGCCCGUGAAUCACCAACAUUUGCUAUUACUAGCUUCUUGCAGUUAAUCAAUAUUGCUGUGACUGCUGUUGAACCCCCUUGGCCCAAAUCAACUGCUUUCUCCAAUAUAGUUGUAUCCGUUAUACGAUAUGCUUUCCUAAUUGCAUUCUCUGGUUCUGUCCAAAAGCCAGGCUGCUUGCAGGAAAAGAAAUAAAGAAGGAUAAAGUUAUAGUUCAUUCCAGAAAACAAAACUAAGGAGCAUUCUUGAUAGGAAAAAUAUGAUGACAAUGAAACAAAAAUGAACUGUGACCUGUUGUAAGUUUGAGAGCAUAUUGAUGCAAAGUUAAAACUAGAGAGCAGAACAUAUAGAUGCUCAGGGAGAAUGUAGGAUAAGAUGCAGCCAUUGCACAUUACCUCAUUCAAGAUAUUAUCAAACAAAUUUGACUUCAAAUAAUCAGGAAUAAUAUGGCUCAGAUGACCAUCAAAUAUAGCAAAUAAACCAAGCUCGCUGUCACCAACUUGCUUAAAUUCUGCAACAACAUAGUCUUCCAUGGGAUGAUGCCCCUUCCCCUUCACUAAAUGAUAACCGUGUGUUAUGUUCUUUGCCAUCUUACUUUUCCCUUUUCCAGAUUCAGCUGUGGAAGAGCAUAAGCCAACUUUUUCUUGUACUUUUUCCUAAAGUAAAUCAAUAUAAGCAGUUGAGCAAACAGGAAAGAUAAAGUAUAGAUGAUAGUGAUACCACUUGAACAAUCCAACAUAUAUACGGAAAUUUUGUAGAGAUCCUCACUGAUGAAGAUAACCAUGGCAUCAACAGCAAAGCAUUGUGAUAUAAAAAGGGUUCAAACUUUUCAAAAUGUCUUACUUCCAUAGUUUAGAAUGCAGUUAAUUAAUUAUACCUUGUGCAAAAGGGAUCUGCACUCUUUGCAACAAUAUUAAUAUGUCAACCUGGUCCUAAUUUCUAAAUAAAACUUGACAAAAUUUCAUUUUGUUAAGGGAACUUUAUUUUAUAAUUAUUCAGGUAAAUUUAGCCUCUUUAUCCAACUAGCCAAGCAGUUGUGCAAUAUUGGCACAUAAAUAAGGCCAAAACUCAGGCACAUGGUUUAGUCAUGAGCAAUCAUUACCUGAAAAUCAAUGAUCUUAUAAACCCAAUUCUUCCAAAAAUUACCAAAUUAAAUUACCCUAAACUAUUUCUUAGAAACCAUUUCCUAUAACCUUUUCAUGGCAAAAUAAUCAACAAAAAAUCUAUCACCUCAUCAUCUUGCUAAUGGUUUCUUUAAAAAACAAAAAAAAAAAAAAAGAGCGCCAGACAUUAGAUAAAUAGCCCAUGUGAAAACAAUCUAAGACCACACAAGAUCCUCUAUUAUUCAUGGCAUUCAAGUACAUUUACAUUCCAUUACCAGACAAGGCAGAACCCCAUGUUACAUAUAUUCCUUUCUCUAGGUUCCUGUACAUGUCAUUGCCAUUCAUUUUCCAGAACACAACAAAUCCAAAAACCAAAACUUCCCUUGAUGAUUAUCAGUUCAUUACUCUUUCUUAUUCCUUAAAGGUCCCAACGUCCGACUCCCUAUCUCCUUCGAUCUCUUCAUAUUAUAUAAGAAAUAUAAUAUACAAUAGAUCAUGCAAAAUCUAACUAACCCAAGGAAACCAUCAAUAUUCAUUUCAACUAAAAGGGUAUUCACACAAGAAAGAAAAAAAAAAGAUGCAAAACAGAAAGGGAAAGAAAAAAGAGCAUACCUUCAUCUUAUGGAGGAUUUCUUUUCCCGUCAUAGCUUUCCUUGGGAAACAAAGAGCCUCUAUAUAUAGAAAGUAAGUGAAUACGUCUUCCUUUUGUUUUUUUGUUGAGAAAGUGGUGAGGACACAGUGGCCAAGACACGCAACAAACUGAAAGAGAAAGACGAAAACAGAGGAGGAAGCCAAGGCAGAUAGGGUGUGUAGGGAGGAGAGGCAGACAAGUGCUUGAGGAAGUAUAUCAACUGUUGACACGCCGCGGCCUUUGCUUUAACACCAUGACGCGUUCUUUACACUUACAUACGGUCUUGCCUCUUUUUUUUUCUUUUACUUUUGGCUUUUCAUUUUGACUUGGACAAAAGAAGAAAACUCUCGUGUCAUUAACGAGGCUUAUAUGAAAAAUUUUAUUAUCUAAAUUUUAUUUAUAUUUGCGAUAAAUAAUAAUUUUAUUUAAAAUUAUUAAUAAAUAAAAUAUUAUUAAAUUUAAAAUAUUUUAACUCGAACUCAAAUAAUAAGUAAAGUUUUGCAAUCUUAUAAUUACUCGACUAUUUUAAAAUUUUUUAUUCAAAUUUUAAUAUCCUAUCUACUAACAGUUAAUUAUUCAAACCUUUGAUUGUGUAAAAAAUAUAUAUAUAUUAAUUGUUUCAUAAUUAUAUUUCACAAUUCAUAUCUAUAUAAUAUAUUAAUAAUUAAAUUUAUAAAAAUAAACAAACAUUAAAAUUUAAAUUUAAAUAACAAAUUAUUUAAAAAUAUUUCAAAUAACAAAAACAAAAAUAAAAAUUCAUAAUAAACAUGAAUAAUAAGACUCAAUGAGUGAUACCCACACCUUAUUCGAAUAUAAAACAAAUACUUAACUUGUUAACUCGAACUUAUCUCAAAUGCAAAUUUAAAAUACCCAUACUUUAUAUAAUUGAAUGAAACAUUUACAAAUACCUAAUUAAAAGAUACCCAUUAUUAUAUCUAAUUUUAUAAUCGAAAUCCUAUCUAAACUCAAUUAUACAUACCCUAAUCUUCUUUAAUGUGGAAAAACAAUGUGUGGAUAGAACAUCUUUGCUUUUUUUCUGAAAAGACAACCGUGAUUAAGGGGUCGAAAAUGGUUGGAAAAUUGACCCAACAGUCAACUCCUUCGAUAUCAAUGUCACCAGUCAUCAACUUUCCCAUUCAUCAAUUUCCACCACUAUACCUUUUGUUUUGUGGUGUUUAACAAUGACAAAUUUGCAAAUAAAAAUAGAUAUAUUAAUAAUAAUCUCGUAAAUUCGAGCAUGCAAGAAUUAUUAUAAAAUUUAAAUGCGCACGUGAUAAAAUAAUUAUUUAUUAAAUUUAAUAUCAACUAAAAUGAUAUAAAAUAAUAAUUCGAUUUUCAUAAAAUCUACAUGAUUAUUACUCAUAAAAUCCAUCUCUUCUCUUUCAUACUUUUAAUUUUUGAUUCGUUUAUCAUGAAACCAUCAUUAAUUUGUAUUUAUAAUCGAACCAGCCCAAUUAAUUUGAUUUUUGAUUGGUUUAAUUUGCUUUUUAAUUUAGUCAAUUUGAUUUUUUUAAAAAAAUUUAAUUUAUUCGAUCCUUAAUCAUGACAGGCAGACGCAGUCCAUUACUUACCCCUAGUUUCAAAGCUCUUAACUGUAUUUAGAUUGGCUCCUUGUUCAAGCCUUUACUUUUCCUCUUCUUUUUUUUCCAGCUUGCUUGUCUCAAGACUUUAAGAGUCCAUGAUGAAGUCAAUUUCUCUCUCCCUCCCUCUACACACACCAAAGAUUUUUUUUUCUUUUUUGUUCUUUUAUAAGUUUGCAUUAAUGAGUAAUAAAUUGAUGCAUGAAUUUGCAUACUACAUUGGUAUGGGUUGUCACAACUAUUUAUAACCAGUACAAAUUUUAAGUGUAUUUAUUACAAUUACUAUUUAAAUAAAUAUCUUAUUUAUUGUAUUAUAAAAAUCCAUAAAAAAAUGACCCUUAAUUAUAUCUUAUUAAAUCUAAUAAUAUGGGUUUUAAUUUAAUCAAAAAAGACUCCCAUUUAAAUUUUUUUAAAUAGCAUCUGAGCAUUUGGCUCAUUAGUUAGUGCAUGAUCCCCUGUUUAAAGAGUAAGAUUCGAAUUCUCUCUCUUCUAAUUAUAAAAAAAAAAAUCUUUAAAUAAAAAUUAUAUGUAUCAAUCAUUAAAUUAAAUCUGUGAUGAUAGUAGGUGAAUAGUUUUCUCUUCACCCAUGGUUUUCAUUCAAGCCUUUGGGUCCAAAGUUUUCUCAUUGGACUCAUUACAUUGGAUAUUCCUUAAUUGGGCUUUUUCUAUCUAAUUAGGAAGAGAGAAAAAAAAAGCCCAUGAAUUUAAGAAGGAAGCAAGGUGCUGGUCAAAAGGUUUGGCUCAAGAGUCAGCUAGAGCCACUCCUUCUAAAAACGAAAGGACCUACCAUCUAACAGCCAUUAGAGCAUCAACAAAGAAAUGAUUUAAGAAAUGGCUUUGCUUGCUUGUGGGGCAAAACAAGUAGACCAGAAUGUGGCUGACUGCUGGUGGUCCCAAAGGCAUGAUGAACUCAAAUGGGGCCCAAAAGUUCCUCCAAAGAAACCCAAAUGGGAGACAAAAGAAAUUUCCUAAGGAGCUCUUUGUCCUCAGCUUCUAGGACUGAUCCAAAGUGGUCUGAUCAAAUUAUAAAUAUAUAGUACAACUUUGGGUUUUCCAUUUUGUGUAGUCCCAAACAAAGAAAAAGCUUUGCUUUGUUGAUCCCAUCAUAGGCAUGGUCUUUGAGGGAGCCUAAACAAUCUAAUAAGUUAGUUAUUAUUAUUAUUAACUUCAAAGAAUUGUCUCAGCUUGUGGCAAUUAGGUGGUCAAUGUCUCUCCUCUCUAUGGUCUAAAAGCUCUUUUCUGCUUUACAUGGAAGAGUAUUUUUGGGAGGCUGUGUCAACUCAUGAAAACAAAAGCAAGUGGAUAAAGGCUAAAGAGAAUGCCAAUGAUUUGAUCAAACUAGACAUCAUAUGUAAAAGCUAUGUAGCUAUAUUUUUAAUUUGGCAUGAUUUAUUAAUCAAACUUGGAGCCUAUUUUGGCAAUUUUAUACCAUCAAGUUUGACCAAUUAAUUAUGUUUAAUUAAAUUUAUCCAUUGUAUUUUCGAGUUUUCUUGAUAGAUAUUGAAUUGAAAAUUUUAAUUUUCAUGAUAAUUAUUUUACGUUGUUAUUAGAAAUAUCGUUAACUCUAACUCAAGUGACAAAGAUAGAAUAGAAUAAUAUAGAUUUUAUAUUUGAGAUAUGGCGUUCAAUCCUUAUUAUACUGUUUUUUUUAAGACAAAAUUGUAUAUAAUAGAUUAGAUCAAAGUGAUUCAGAUCAUUGACUAAAUCUUGAGCUUUGGUCAAAGUUGAAUAAACCCUACUUGAAUCAUAAGACACACACAUUUAGGAAUAUCCCACACAAGCUAACAAUAUUAUUACAACACUAAGCUCCAUGUGCUAGAUUAUGGCUGAGUUGGCAAGAAUGGCUCCAUGAUUUACACCACCCAGAACUCAUCAGAAUCACACAGAACACAAGGGCCCAGAUCACUCUAGCUGUCCCAUCUAGACAUAACACAUGAUUCUCUCACCUUGUUCCUAUCAUACUAUCAUCGACUUACUUAAUAUAAAUACAAGUACACAAGCUUACUCAUGCACCCCAAACUCCCACACAAAAGAAAAUUAGUAUAGUAAUUAAAUUCUUCCAUGGAAACCCGCAGGAAAAGGUCCAGCUCUGGUGAGAUAUUCUCCUUUCCCAGCACCCCAAAUCUGCAAGACCAAGAUUCCGAUUUCAAGUUCGGUUGUUUUACCCCGGAUUCACCCUCUCUAGAUCCUUACGGAACCUCACCAGCUGAUCAUCUUUUCUUCAAUGGCCGGCUCUUGCCACAUGCCUUCCCUUUACAACCUGCAACAAUGGUAGCAGCUGACAGUUCUCGUGGGACGAGCAGAACAAGCAGCAUCAACAGCAAGGAUUCAAUAAUGUCAUCAAGGAGUAACAGCGCUAACAGCAGAAGCAGUUGCAGCAGCGCACGAACAAGCUCGAGUGACAAUUCAGAGAGGAGACUGUGGUACCAUAGCAAAAUCCAUGCACGCAAAACAAGCAUAAUGGUAACCGCUCAGCUAUACGGGGAUUCUCAAAGAUGGCAGUAUAUUACACAAGUGCCUGUUCUGAAACGUGAGGUUUCCGGGAGGAAAAAUAGUGGGGCUGUGGUGAAAGAAGCAUUGAGAGCUAAGAAACAGGGUGAUCAUCUUCAAGAAAGAAGUAGUACUAGGGGAAAGUCAGGGCCCUGUCUGAGACUUUUCAGGUUGUUUCUGUUGGCCUGCAGAGAAUGUCAUGCCAUGGAACCUUCCAGGAAACAAGACGUGGUGCAAGGGAAUUUGAGUGUUGGAUAACUUAUGAACCCAUGUCUUUAAUAUACAAAACUUUUUCUUGCUUUGGGUUUGUGUUGAUUUUGUGCUAUGAACAUUAUUUGUGUGGAAUUUGGGCUCAAUAUAUAUUUCCUGUCAACCGGAAAAAACAAAUUACUUUGGAGAUAUUGAUCAGUAAAAGGAAGAAAACAGCUGCAGUACUGCUGCUGGUUUCUACAUGAUUUUUGGUAAUGAUUAAUAUGUUGUCCUAGGGUUUCCUGGAUUUGUGACAUGCUGCAAGGCUGCAACAGGUGAUAACUUUUGUCAAAAAGAGGAGUGGGAAGCGUCAGAGUGUCCUGUUUCUUUUGUAAAAAGCAUAGUCAUAGCACUAUAUGCCAAUCUCUUCCACCAUAAUCUGACACUAAUUUCAAGCUUAAUUAUUAGAAAUUGGACAGCAAGAGAUCACCUUAAACCCUUUCACUAAUCAAGGUUUACCAAGUCAAGCAAAAACAAAAAGACCUCCAGUUGUAAUGAUUAAAUAGUUUAUUAUUAGGAUUUGAAUCUGAAAUUUUAGUCAAUGACAUGUCAGAUAGGACUUCAUAUAGUCCUUGAUGCUCAGCCCAAUUCUACCCAAAAACUUAAGGGGUGGGCAAUUUUCCAUUAAAUCCGAAUUAACUAAAUUAAUCUAAUAAAUUCAAUUAAAACAGUUCUAUUAAUUUGGAAAUGAGUACUAUGAAAUCGAUUAAUCUGAUCAAUUUGAUUAUAAUUUUUUUUCAAUUAAUCGAAUUAAUCGAUAAAUUAAAAACAUAUAAGUGGGAAUAGCUUAUAUUUAAUAAUUGUAUAAAAAGUUACCAACCCAACCCAACCCAACAAUAUAUAUUUAAUUAAGCUCAUAUAAUAUAAAAACUUCUUUAGUGUAAAUAAGAAAUUGGGCUCCAUCUAGGAAAAGGGCCCAACAGUGAAAGAAAAUGAGCCCAAUUAAUAAGUCUGGGUAAGAAGGAAAUAAAUACCCAGAAAUGUGACUGCCACAGCCCAAGCCCAUAAAGUGAAUGACAACAGGCAGAAGGCCAUGGAAUUUUCCUCUCCCCCCAUUAGUGAAACUGGGAAACAGAGUUCACCAUUAAGAAAGACUGGGGAAAACUCGGAGCAGCAAAGCCAUAAGUAGUACCACUCCAUUCAAAACAGGUAAGAAGGAGAAUCUUCGAUUAUUGGUUUCGUAUAUAUAUAAGUUUAAAUAUGAAUCCGGUGUGAUUAAUUGAGUUGGUGUUGUUGAGUAUUAGAAUUGAGUUAGGUUUGAAUCAGGCCAAGUUUUUUUUGUCAAUCUUCCCAACAUGAGCUUGAUCAAUCCUUUUUUGGAUCAUUCUGGGUGUUGAAUUGUUGUUUUUUUUUUGGAUGUUUGAUUUUCCGAGUUCGUUUAUGUUUGGUUGGUGGGAAAACGUUUAGGAAAAGAAAGCUGAGAUGGAAAUAGCUGGUGGAGGCGGAAUCAAAGAAGAGAGAGAAAUGGAGAUGGACGUUGAUGAAAUGGAUUCUUUGUUUGAAGGGAUGGUGUUGUUUACACCAUCCCAGUUGGCAGAAGACAAAGAGCAAGAGCAAAAGCAAGAUCUUGAUCAUCUGGAACACGAAUCACAGAAUUCAACGCAGCAGCAUCAGGUUCUGGAGCCACUUGAUGAGAAUCUGUUCUCUGACCUUGUUCUUCAAGUGCCGCUUGAUCAGCCAGAUCCUGGACCUGAACCAGAACCAGAACCAGAAGCGGGGCCUCCUUCCGCUACUGCCUUCUCUAGGCAGACCUCUUAUCCUUAUAGAAAGAAAAAGAGAGCUACUGGAUUUAGGAUUGGAUAUGGUAGAGAUGAUCAGGUUAAUAAUAAUAUUGAUGAUCAUGACGAGAGCCAUUCUGCUGCCCAACCAAUUACUUCACCUCAUACCAGUACCACCACAAGCACUACCAUAUCUUUGGUCUCAGGCUCAGAUUCACAAUCCCACCAAGGCCAGGCUCAGCAGCAGCAACAACAACAACAGCAACAACGAAAAUCUAUUAAUGAUGCUGAAGCCCAAUUUGAGCAAAUCAAGGCACAGGUUGCCGAUAAACUCAGCCGUGCUCGCAAAUUAGCAGCCUCUGUAUCUGAAGCUCGCAAGGACUCCAUCAGGAGAAGAAGAAAGGCUGCUGAUGAUCUUAACUUAGCAACUAUUAGAUUUGGGGACCUUGAAAAGCAGUUGGAGGAUGCUUGUGAAGCCGAGGAUUUUGAGGCCGCUGACAGGAUCAAUGAGAGCCUUGCUGCUGCUGACAAGGAUAAACAAGCUCUCCUUAGUGCUCUCCGAGAUGCUGAGGCCCAAUGCAAUGCUAUUGAUUCCAAAAUGCUCGAGGUUCUUAAUUGCCAGAUUGCUGUCGAGGAGGAGUGUGCCUCUUUGCUCCAUCAUUUCUUUGAGGUCAGUCGUCCAGCCAUCACUAUACUCUUUUUAGAUACCUACCACUUACUAUUUUAAUUUAAAAAACCAGAUAUAGAGUGCUCUUGUUUGUUAAUUUAAAGUAGAUUUUUGACAAGUAACUACUGGCUUAUGAGUAACAACUGGGUUGUAUUCAAUUCCUUUCUUCCAUUAUUACAUGGUUGUGCUGUUUGAUUCUGACUUUUACAUUCCUUUUCCCCUAGGAUGCUAUGAGUAAUGCUGAUUUGGUCUUCAAGAAAUCAGAAGCACAAUCUUCAGAAGAAAGGGAGAAAUGGCUUUCUUCAACUGAAGCUUUGGAGUUGAACAAGAUAGAAUUACAAAUUGAGGCACACUUAGUAGAUGAAGCUCGUGCAGUAUUCAACACUUCCCUUGACAGCUUGAUUGAAGAUGAUAAGAGAGAGAAAGAAUUUCUCUGUAAUCAAAAAGAUAUCUUGACUGAUGAACUGCAUAAACUACUUGCCUUAGUGAAAGACAAGGAAAAAGAAAUUGCUGAAAAUAACUCUAAAAUUAAAGAAGUAGAUCAAAGGAUUGCUGAUGUGGUAUCUGGCUUUCAAGAGAUGCAAUCAAGUAUUGAUUCUAAGUAUGACAACUUACAAUCUCAUCUUUCUCAGAUGGACAUAGAGAGUGAAACUCUAGCAAAGAAAAAGGAAGAAAUUGACAAGCUCCUUUCUGAAGAAGAAGAUAGGGGGAUUAAGCUCAAGGAACUUGCCAGAAUUUCUGUAGGUGAGGCAAAAAUGUAUCUGGAAGUUGUAGGACUAAGAAAAAGUUUGCUAUCCUCAGUUUUGAAAUCCAUGGAAGAUAAAGUGACCCUUGCUAAGACGGAGGAGAAGCUUUCUGAGGAUGUCCAAAUGCUUCAACAGGACGCUUCUACUGCAAGGGCCUCCCUACAGGUUCAUUUUUCUUCUCAAAUAUAUAAGAGAGGGAUUUUCUUUUAAUUGAUUAUGUUUCAUUACACUAUUUUUUGACCCCCAACAUGUAAUUUGUUCCUGUUUAAGUUUAACAGAAGUUUGGUUGUAUGCUAACUGCUGAAUUGCACCAUCUUGUAGUCCUAUUUUGGGAAUCAAACUUGCAGAAUUUAACUUGAGUUUCUGGUCUUGCCCUGGUUGAAUGCUUUCCAACCUGCAAUAAAUUUCUGUAUUGGAAGCUAUCAUAGAGAGCCCAAUAACUCAUCCUUAAUGUCAUUACUGAAGCUAUAGAUAAUCAAUUCUUCCUAUCAAACAAUUUCAGUAUCAUGAAAAUCAGUGGAAUUUUAAAUUCCAUGAUAUUGCUCUUUGUAGUUUGUUUCACUUGAAUUGUUUAUUUAUUAGUACACAAGAAGCUUUGGAUAUCUGUUUUUCCUUUUUAUACAUCAACUUGACAAAAGGUGAACAUCAAAUAAACCACAUUGUUUCUUCCCCUUCUAUGAUUGCAGUAGAUGAUUGGAUUUUCUCGCUACUGAUUUCAGGAAUUAUCUUCAACAAAGUCAAGCAUUCAGCAAAAUAUAGCAUCUUUAAAGCAGAGGAUCUUUUUCAUAGACAAAAUGGUUCCAGAGCUGGAAGCAGAAAAGAAGGUUGCCGCUGCUUCAAGAAAUUUCAAGGAAGCUGCACGAAUAGCAGCUGAAGCAAAAUCAUUGACCAUUGAAAAGGAAAGUGUACAAAUUGAAAUGGACAAAGCUGUGUUGGAUCUUGGGAAACUGGAGGAAGAGAUAAAGCAUACUGUGGACAGAUUGCAGGAGAUUGAAGGACUGAUUUUGUCCAAAGAAAAAGAAGUGGCAAUGGCUAGGUUUCAGAGGUUACUUCUAAUUGCUGGUGCUGCUAAAGCGGAAAGAUCGGCUGCUCUAGAGUUGGGUGACCUUGAAGAAGCCAGCCUUCUACUUGCAGAGGCUGAUGCAGCUGAUGCCGAAGCAAAAAAGCUUCAACCAAAAUACAAUUUGAAAGAGGAAGAAUUUGAAGAUUUACCAAAGCACUUCAUCUCCUUGGAACUUGUAACAAACCUUGGCCAGAAGAAAUUAGCAGAUUUAGCAGCAUUGUCCACUGCCUGAUGAUUAGUAUAGUUUUUCAUAAUUAUGGAAUCGAAGAAUACUUCAGAAUCACCUUCUAAGAGGCAAAACAUGGGUUUGCCAUUUUCUCUUCUGCAGUUCUGCAUAAUUUGUCAUUGCUUCAGUGCCUUCAAAAGCGACACCAUUUGCAGCACCAUCUGGGUUACGCUGUCUGGUUCUUUUGCUUUACUUUUCAUACCUACCAUUUGGAUCAUUCUAUGCAUGUGGUCACUAGGUGCUUGCUACCAAAAGCAUCACCUUUCAUUCAUCAGCCCCUGCGGUGGUCAAUUUGGUUUGUUGCGCUGGCUUUUGAUCUCUCUUUUUCGUUGUCUCCUUGAUUCUUUACCUGUAACUGCUAUAUAUAAUGUGUACCUUUUUCUCGUGAGUUUUGUUCUGCCAUUUGCUCACAGUGGCUUUGAAAGUUCAAUUUUAAGAAUAGAAAAUGGAUAUUUGAAGCUUGUGUUUUCAUUGUUAAUGUGGCAGAUUUUAUAUAUAUAUAUAUACAUAUAUAUAUAUAUAUAUACAUAUAUAUAUAUGUAUAUAUGUAUAUAUAUAUACAUAUAUACAUAUAUAUAUAUACAUAUAUAUAGUAUAUAUAUAUAAAACAUACAUAUAUAUAUAUAUAUAUAUNNNNNNNNNNNNNNNNNNNNNNNNNNNNNNNNNNNNNNNAUAUAUAUACAUAUAUAUAUAUGUAUAUAUGUAUAUAUAUAUACAUAUAUACAUAUAUAUAUAUACAUAUAUAUGUAUAUAUAUAUAUACAUAUAUAUAUAUAUUGUAAAAAGCACAUCCUUGAAUGAGUUUCUUACUUUCUUUUGUUCAUGAGUUUUGUGUUUUAGAUUGGUUCUAAUAGCAAUUAAUAUUUUGUUGGAAUUUGGAGAAUUUUGAGUGACCGAAAUAUAUUUGUUUGAUUAUGUGGCAGGAAAAACCAGUGACGGGAUGGAGGAUAUUUGGGAAAGUGUGUUAGAGGCCAAUUCAAGGGUUUUGAGAGCCUGCCAUUGCUUCAGAAGUUAUGCUUCUAAAAUGGUAAAUCAGGUUUUGAACUGUGUGCUAGUUUUGUAUGAUGAUCAUAAUACUGUUUUUUCCAUUCCAAUUUUAAUUGUGAAAUUUCUAUUUUUCAGGGGGGAAAAUGAAAAUGCAAGAUUUGUGUGUCUGUUUCAUCAACACAAGAAUGUGAUAAGAACCUUGUAUUUUGGGUGCAAUAUUCAUGUCAACUGGAAAAAGAGAUACUUUGAAACUAUCGGUCAGGCUAAACGAAGAGCACAGUGCUGGUUUCUUAAUGAUUUAUUGGUAUCAUUAGUUUGUUCUGGGAAAUCCAUUGCAAUUUGCAAAAUCCAAGGGAUAUCCAGGAUUUGGUAUAUAAUAACAAGCCUGCAACAACUUCUUCUACUUUUGCUAAAAAAGAGUGGAGAGUGUACCAGUGUCCUGUUUUAAAUCUUUUAAUGAAUCAAGAUUCACUAAAUCAAGUAAAAAGUUCAAGCAUAUGAAAAUACAGGUUAAGAUUCUGUUCCUUGUAAACUAAUAAACAUUGAAGGUGGAUCUGAGCAGAAUGUUUCUCAAGUUAGCUGGACUGAAUCAUUGAACUAGCAUAUAACAAUAUUGGGUUAUUUUUCUCUUCCCCUUUGUUUUCUAUCUUUUAAGAAAUGAAGCAUGCAUUUGGAUGGUGAUAUGAUAUAUGUAGAAAAAAGAUAAACAGUCUCUAUGAUAGCUUAUUAUUUAAAUACAGAAGGUGAAUGCAGGGUCCUAAUCAACAAGGAAAACUUCAUUGUCUGGACAAUGUAUAUUGAAAAUCUGCAUUGCCCCUGACCUUUUUAACCUGUUUCAAUUGAGUGUUGUUGAUUUGCCUUGGAUCCGUAGCAAUUUCCAUCAAAGCUAUGUUAGAGAUUCAACUUGCAAUAAGAAGAGGUGGCUACUUAACCUAACCAUUACUUAAAAGUUCCUUCCACCUUCAUUGCUCCCUCACCAAAUAGUAAUACAAGGGUUUUCCUUGUAUUGAGUUUCAUUGAUCCAAUUAUAAAUCCUAAUGCUUUGUGAGUGCAGCAUUUGAGCAGAAGGGUAAAGAGACUACUUCAAAAUUCCAAGGCCGAUAUUCCACGCAAACCUAAAGGGAGGAAAACUUACAUUAGGAUAAACUACAACAAAUGAUUAGAAAGUUCAGUUGAAUGGAUUAAAGAGAAGGAUGUAGAAAGGACAUCAAAACACACAGGAAUUUCAGCAACUAAGGAACACAACCCUUUGUGCCUAAAUACAAAUUCUCAACCAUUUGUCCCUCUAUUACAGACCCUUGUAAAUUUCAUUCCAAGAAGGUUUCCAUGACAUCGGUAUACAUCCCUGCCUCAGAGUUCCUAUACUCCACGGGUUGGUGCUGAUGAUGAUCUACUGAAGUUGAAGAUGAAGAUGAAGCCAUUCUUGCAGGUAAUGUAAAGCUCCUCUUAAACUUGUUUUCCAUCUUCCUCAUAUUCUCUGGAUGACUAUCCAAGCUCAAGUACUCAUUGGGGUUUGCACCGGCAUCUGAAUUUUGAUUAGAAUCUUUUCCUUCAAGAAUCAGCGGAUGGUGGUUUUGGUCCGGUUUGUUGCCUAAGCUGUCAGGGUUAAACAAGAGCUUGGCAUCUUCAGUUCGUCCAGUGAGAGCAUUGAAGAAAGUCAAGCCAUUAGGCCAUUUGAUGUCAUUUUCAUGUUCUCCCAUCAUAUCUUCCAUUCGGGUUUCAGAUGAAUGAGGCAGGAUAAACAUGUGUGUCUCAUCUUUGGCUUGUGGAAAUCCAAGUCUAGCUGGGUUCUGAAAAUUAGGUGAAGCGAGCAUUGGUGUCGCUGGGGGAAGCGGCCUCUGGCUCCAGUUGAAAAGUGGAGGUGGGGGCCGUGUCGGAAUGGCAGACUGCUUCGAAGGAAUUGUAGAUGAGGAGGUAUUAUUUCUGUUCGAAGAAAACAACUGAGAGAGAUAGAAACCAGAUUGAUAGCCAAGAGAUUCAAAGGUAUGCCUCAUUCUUAGCACAAAAUGAAGGUCUUCAGGUAUCUGAGGAUACACACAGCAUCUCAAUGAGAUCAAAAUAUCAAACAGUUCAGCUAUUUCACAAAUAGAAGACUUGACUUUGAUCUCCAAUUCAACCACGAAAACUUGCACCAACAAAAUUUAAAUUUCCAAGAACUACUUCAAAGUUAACCAAAUUAGUAAUUACAAAUUCUAAUAUGUCCGACUCACAAUCUUGCAGGAGCCUAACUGCAGAAGACCAUGGCCAGCUUGGAUCACAGCAAUAGUCUGGUCAAAAGAAAGCAACAAUCACCCCAAGUCUUAAUGACUUGACAAAGAGGGCAGAAAAAAUCAAACCAGAAUAAGACUAACAACAGUGAAAUGAGUUGUUUCUGUGCUGACCUGAAUGCCUGACUCAAAUUGAUCAGUCCAUUCAGGAGGAAGCUGCAAUUAAACAACAAAAGGGGAAAGGUUACACCAUCUAACCAAAUAAUAAAGCACAAAGUUAUGCCACACGCCAACUUUUCCAUAAACAGACACUUGAUCAUUGAACCCAAAGUUCUAUUUAGGUUAAACAAUUGAAAUUUAAAAAAAAAAAAGGAAGAUGAAGGUGGGCUAUACGACAUACAGCAUCAAAAGAACUCUGCCAAUAAUUGGAGAUGUUGGGUUCACAUUCUGUUGGUUCUUUGAACACCCAUUUAUGGCACUUAUCUGAUGCAACCUUUCCCAUUAACCUGACCAUGAAGUAGGAAUUAAACCAAUAAAAAAUAUACACUAAGAAAGAAACAAAAAAACCAUUUAAUUCCACUCUCUAUCUAUAUUUUCGCUCAGAGAGAAAAGGGGGGGGGGGGGGGUCAGGGAGGGACAGAGUUGAAACCAAUAAUAAUAAUAAUAAUAAUAAUAGCACCUACCCAGUACCCACCCUUCUCCAUAAUUAUAUAACUGAAUGGACAUUUUGCUGAAUGCCUUCCUCACUGGAUCUUCUCCAUCAAUCUCUUCCAAACAAUCUGCAACUCUCCCUCGGCAGAAUCCAUCUUCCCACAUCAGCAUCCUUCACAUGAAAUUUCACCACAAAAGAUGAACAAAAAAGAAAAAGGAUCAAAAUUUAGAACAAAAAUUAAACAUAAAAAUUCAAUUAAUUUAAGAAUGAAAAUACCUCUAAAUCACAAAUUAAUAAAAACCCAUCUCACAAAAAUCAAUUACUAACUCAAAUUUCACUCCAACACCCCCAUCUCUCAUUAACCAAAUUUCCCCCGUUUUUCUCCCCUGUUUCUCCAAAGGAAACAAGUAAUGCCUAGCUUUUUUACUGAUAUAAUGCAAAGAAGUGUCAAGCAAAAUGAAAUCAAAUAAGUCAAACUACAUACUCGUCCACUUAAUUAGUCUAAAUUUUAAAACUCUUAAAACCCUGAUUUCUCACUCAUUUUCCUGUCAUCCCAGGAACCAAACAAACAAAAAAAGGCAAAGCAUACUUACAAGCUGCCAUUGUCAUCUCCAACCUUGCAACCAUUACCACCUCUCACUCUCCUGCAUCAAAAGAAGAAACCCAAUUAAAGAAAACAGCUAAAAAAACAAAAAACUUGAAAAAGAGGAAAAGGAUAGCAACUGAUAACCAUAUAAAUACAAAGAAAGGAGGAAAAAAAAAAAAAAGUUGAAGAGUNGACGCUUCUAAGUGCCUCAUGAAGGGCCAUCAUCCCAACAGCUUCUUUGCUCCUAUCUGCUGCUCCUGAGCCCACCAUCUCUUUCUCUCUCUCUCUCUUCCCUCUCUUUCUCUCUCUUUAUAUAUAUCUAUAUAUAUAGGCGUUUAUAUUUGUAUGUAAGAAAUAAUAUGAUAUGUAUCUUUCUUUUUUUUUUUCCUUUUUGCUCCAAAGCAACUUCCUUUGAAACACAGCUGCCUUGCCACUCCUCUUUGGUUAACUUGUAGUCUGGCUUGUAGUAUAACUUAUUUAUUUGUGUGUACCUUCUUUUUCAUUUUGUUUUUUUAUUUUUUAUCUCUUUGUCUUGGCAAUCACUUCUUUCCCUUCUUAUCAACUACAAAGCCAGACUCUUUGCUUCCUCUCUCUCUCUCUCUCUCUCCCUCCCCCCUCUUUAUCUUUAUUACUACUACUAUUCCUUUUGUUUGUCCCCAACCAAACCAGCUUCUCUCUUUGAAAGACAGAAGAGAGUUAAAAAAAAACAAAAAAUGGGAUGUUUUUGUUUUGGUUGCUGUUGUUGUUCAAGAAGGAGUUGAAGUGUGAAAGUAAUAGUGGGGACAGCUUUUUACCUUUGUUCUUUUCUUUCUUUCUUUCCUUCCUUCCUCCCUCCCUUCCUUCCUUCCUGUCUUUCAAGGCUUAAGUUGAUGACUGUGGGAGGAGCCAACUAAAAUCAUAUAUAAAAUAUAAAAGAAAAGGGUGGUUGUGGUUUUUGAUGACAAGUGAGAGAAAGGGCAACAAAAUCACUUUGUUGCCCUCUGUGUCUGGUUGGAAUUUCAGUUGGCUUGGGGGAAGUUCUGUACGAGGGAGGGUUAGGUAAAUUUUCACAC